GAAAAAAAAACUUAGUCAUGCUAUCCAAGCAAAAAUAAUUGGAAGACUCCAAUGAUGUAAAUGAUAAAAAUAGAUGUCUUCUCUCUCCAAAAAAACAAAUAAAUGUAUAAGAUGCCCUCUGAAGUUUGUGUGUCUAGCUUUUUUCCUUUUUCAUUUCCUUCUUGUGAAGUUGCUGUUUUCUUAUGACCAAAAAGAGAAUUUCUCUAGCUGCUUAUUUUGAGUAAAAGCACAUAAUUAGUGAGAUAUAAAGAUAAGCACAUAACUAGAAAGAGAAACCAAUGAAGGGGUCAUACCUAUGGUUCUGCAAUCUUCCAUUUCCAGUUGGCAGACAAGGAGCUUAGGCAAUGAUGAGAAGCAGUUGCUGUCACUCUACAAUUACCUCCUCAAGAAUGGGUUUGGAGUGAAGUGUUUCUUUGUGCCAUGCUGUGAGUUACUCAAGGAAUGGUUGGCAGAUUCUUUACAGUUGUGUCUGUUAUGUUAGUUGUGUUGGAUAUUUGCAUGAACUCUGGAAUUUUUAAAGUGAAUCUAAAUCCUUAGGACUCUGCAUGUACUUAUAAUCUUCCAAAUGUGCCUGAGACACUUUAUGAUCUUAUAACAUUAGAGCAUGGCAUCUGUGAUGCUUGUGGUCUCAGAUAUGCAGAGAUGUGGAGCUUUGUAAGUGCACUCCCACUAUGGAGUUUUGCAGAACUCUGACCUUUUGGAUUUGGUUGUGUAAAAUCUAAUGUAUCUGUGGCUUCACAAGGGAGGUGGGGAGCAUUGCCAGUGCCUCUAGGCGAAAGAAAGAAGCUUGGAAGCUUAUAUGAUCUGCUGCAUUCAGUGCAUCCUGAUGGUGUGAGGAUAAACUACUGUGGAGACUCACAGCAGACCAAACAUACUCAGUGAGACCCCCUUAUCAAUUCAUUAACAGUGAUGGUGCUCUUCCUGUAUUAUAGUGACAUGUGGAAGGGGAAUGCACCGGAAAAAUCAGAAUCUUCUGCUGGUUGGUGCUGAGAAAUCGAUUAUAGGCAGUAGAUGUUCUGAGAAGAAUGGGAUGGCAGGUUUCUUGCUUGUGUUCCCUCUUUGGUGCAGCAGAUGAGUUAGGGAGCCAUUUGUUCCUGCAUUGCUCUUAUAGCAAGAGAAUUUGGUUCGUGGUCCAGAUUUGUGUGAAAAUUAAAGAUCAUCCUCCAUCCCUACUUUUCUUGUGGACGUCUUGGCAAUUGAAGAGAAUAAAAAAAAAAGAGCUUCAGGAGAGGAUGGAUCAGUUAUUCUAGACUAUUUAUUGGAAUCCAUGGCAUGGACAAGAUGUAAGAAUUUUCCUGAAGAGAAGCCAUCCUGUGACCUAGGUGCUGAGUAAUGCAGUGAUGGAAAUCAUGGUUUGGGCCGCCGUACGUUCCCCUAGAUCUCAGCAGGCACAUGAUUUUGUGUCAAGAAAUUUCUCUUCUUUGCUUCAGGGCCCUCAAAGUUCCUUUUCUUCCAAAUCUUUUUUAUUAAUUCCUUCUGCUUUAUGCUGUCUUCUUGCUCUCCAUAAAUUGUAUGGUGGAAAGGGCUCCCUUUGCCCCCAGUUCCCUGUUUUUUUUUCUAAAAACAAGGGAAAAAGUAAAAAAAAAGAAAGAAAAGAAAGAGAAAAAAGAAAAAAAAGAAGCCGCCUUCUUAUUCUAGAUCUCUGCUCAAAAGCUGCAGCGGGAGCCUUCCCAAUCUUUGUGCAUAUUGUGUAUGAGAUAUUGAUUUCAGCCCCCAAAUUUACCAGUUAGACAUCUUCUUCAUACACGUGGUAUAUUCAGUGACCUUCUUGUCUGAGAAAUCCCAACUGAAGAGAGUUUCUUAUCAACAGAUGUUAUAUGGCUGCCUGUGCUGUUAUAUGUAUCAUGUGCACAAACGACCGAGAAAUUUAUUCCAGACAAUAUUCUGUCGAUACAGAUCUCUGUAGCUUCUAUUUGGCAAAAUGAAAUAUGUAUGACAAUGGAAAGGCCAAAUAUAAAAUGUAGAUGCAUGGAGAAACUCACUUCAAAUGAAUCCACAACACCUCACAAAAAGGAAUGUGCGAACAUUAUGGAUGGUAAUGUUAAGCAUCAAAAGCUACAUGGGAUGGAGUUCAGAAAUUUCUAUGUUCAAGUGAGGGACGUUGUGCAGUAAUGGCCUCUCAGUGCAGGCACAUACGGCUGCUCGGUGGUCUGUACUUUGCUGUGACCAUUUGUUGUUAAUUCGGUUUAUUGCUCAUGGAUAAGGUGUCUGCUGCGUAAAGUCAUUAAAUAAUUACCAUCUCUGAGUUCUUUCACGUUGAGACUUUCAAGCCUUAUUUGCCGAUCAUUCCUAUUAGGAGCUUGCUCCAGCAUAACCACAAGCUUUUCUCAAAUAAGUUACUUACAUUUUAAACUCAAAAAAUAAAUUGUAUAUAUUUUCGUAUAAACUAAAGUUGAUUCAGUGUUUCAGGACUUACUAACCUGAGAUGAAUUAAACCAGGAAUAUGAGGGAGCUUAUCCUAAUUGAGCCGCAAAACAAAUUUCAUGACAUCCGAUGGUUGUCAUGACAUCAUAGGAUAAAAACAAAAGUGCCGAUAUUUCAUAUUACAACUGAAGCAAAUGAGCCACCUAUGAUGGACUCAAAGAACCAGACCCUAUCCAAGCCCAUGUUCCCACUUCAAGCCUCAAAAAGAGAGACACAUGAUUUACAGUUUUGUAGAGCAAAAGCUACUUAUGUAGUGAAAGUUUUUUUUUCUUUUAACUUCAUAUUUAAAUGAAAAUGGGACCACUUGUGGUGGUUAUCUCAUCUAAUUGUGAAGAUACGUGCUGCUCUUUCUUUCUCAAAUUAAUUUUAGUGGAGUACACUGCAAUUUGAGAUAACUUUAGACUGUGAACGUAUUGAUUAUGAUUCAUUUUAUGUGAUCAUAAUUGAGACUAUGUGAUAAAAUAGGUUGAGUUUUAAGGAUGUUUGCAUGUAACCUUGAAUUUGUUCAUGGUUCAAAAAUCUAACAUCGGUAUUAGAGCCAGAUUAUUGUUUAUACUAGUCUAAAUACGAUGCAUAACAAGAUGUAUGUAUGCUAGAACAAUUAAACUUGCAUCUAUGAUUUUUUUUUUCAAUUCUGGAAUUUUGAUAACAUGAUCAUCGGGCCAUGUUUGAAGGUGCGCCUUUAUUUUUGUUACAAAGAUGGAGCGCACCCCUUCUGGAUAAGAUCCAGAAGGGAACGCUGCUUUGUUUGUUACGGUGAAACAGAGGGGUGUGCACCCCAUCUGGAUAAACUUUUUUGCUAUAGUGAAACAGAGAGGCUUGCGUCCCUCCUGGAUAAGCCUUUUUGUUACGAUGAAACAGAGGAGCUUGUAGAAAAAGAAAAAUAAAAAAAAAAAGAUGAGGUUCUUUGAAUUUUGAAUUCAAAAGAGGGGGCCACGCCCCAAUCUAUUUUCGUGCGAUUUUCUAUGAGGGAUUUGUUUCUUAUGAUAUUUUGGUUCCUUCGGGGUUUUGGGAUGGAUUUUUCCACUAAAAAAAAAUUUCACUAAGAUCCAAAUAUAUAUAUAUAUAUAUAUAUAUAUAAUUAAAAUAUUGGUGACAUAAAAAUAUUGAUCACUAGAAAUAUUUUUUUAUAAUUAUUGUUUAUCAUAUUUUUUGUAAAAUAAAAUGGUAUUUCAAUGGAUCUUAUUUCUGUAUUUGUUAUAGAAAAUGGUGUGAGUCAUGAGAACUCCGAAGAGAUUUUUUUUUGCUCAGCAAAGGACUAGGGUGGACAAAAUGAUCAAUGAGUUGAUCCAUAUGAAAAUGGAUCCUACAAACACCAAUAAUGAAUUGGUUCAACUGGUGAACCUCGUCAUUAGGGCACAUGGUUUAAUGCAAGAAAUUAUUGGGAAGGUGGUCUGAAAAUUGAAUUGGAGAAAUAUAGGGCUCUAAGAAUGAUUUUACGAAUACCUAGUCAAAAAAAGGUCCUAGAUUCAUUUUGGUGUAAGGAGAGUCAGAGAGCUCUUGGAUCCUAUUGAUGCACUGUGAAGAGCUUGAUCUAGGAAUAUGUUAAUUGAGUAGCUAGAAAGAAUUCAUGUUCUUUCUUGGAACUGUCUCUUCGUGAUGGAAAUCGAAGAGUUUUGGUAAAAUCGAUAUUGCCAAAAGUAGUUUACGAGUUUUCCGAAGGCCUCUAUGAUGAUCUUGUUAACUCAAUUCCAGUUACUUGGACUUCAUAUGAAAAUUGAUUGUUGUUUCCUUGUUUUUGCUAUGAAUUGAACUAUGUUAGUUCUGCUAUUAGCUAUUUUUUGUUUAGAAUGUUGAACAAUAUGUUUUGUGAUUAUAAAUAUUAUGUUAUUUUAUUUUCACAUAUUUGUAUAUUAUUGUUCAAUUUCUAAUUUUUUUUAUUUAUUUAUUUUCUAUGAAAAUUAAAUAUAGAUUAAGGAAAACUUAAUACAUUUAUUAUUGAAUAAAUUUAUUAGAUUCUCAAAUUUAAGGAAUUUAAGAAUAUUACCUUUACAUAAUUAAUUAUGUUACUUUUAUUAUAUAUUAGGAUAUUAGAUGAUAAUUAAGAAUAUAGUGAACUUUCGAUUCUAAACCUAAUGUAGAAUAAUUGUUAGCAUAAUUGAUAGUGUUAAGGUAGAUGUAUGUAUGUUAUUAGGUGCUAAUAAAUGUGUAUAAAAUGUCUAUAUAUAGAACAUUAGUAUUCAAAUGGCAUCAGCUGCGAAAAACAUAGUGGCCGAGCGUAACAAAGGUGAAAAACUCAAUGGUAACAAUUAUGAAAUCUGGAGCAUGAAGAUCCAGUAUGUGCCAGAGGAGCAAGAGGCUCUUGAAGCUCUUAACCUUAUCAUGAAAGUGAUUGAAACUGAAAAUACGGCCCAGCAUAGGAGGGACAGUGAGGCGUAUGAUGCCUGAAGAAAAAAAAUUCAACUGCUCGUAUUACGUUGCUAAGCAAUAUGGAUGAUGACAUUAUGCAGGAAUUCAAAAAAAUUGACUUUGCGAAGGACAUAUGGCCUGCACUUAAGAAAAAGUUUGGAAGCAUAUCAGUCACCAAACUGAGGGCUCUCACCAUUAAGUUCGACACUUAUAAGAAGCAUCCUAAACAUGACAUGAAAAAACAUCUAAGGGUCAUGUCUAACAUGGUGAAUGAGCUGAAGGAUGUCGGUCAUAUCUUAACGAUGAGCAGCAAGUCCAGACGGUGAUACUAACAGCUGGAAGUAUAUGAAAAUGCACCUGAUCCACAAUAUCCAUAUUAAGAAUAUGGAGGAUGCUCUGCAUCACCUUGAGCUAGAGGAGGAAUGCCUCUGCUUCAGCAAGCCAAGCACAGACGUGUACAUGGCCGGUUCCAGCUUUCAAGGAGGUAAGGGACGCAAGUGCAAAAACCAAGAUGGGAACCAAUAAAGAAAGGGUAAGGGUGCAGCCAACAAGAAACCAAAGAAUGAGAAAGCAAAAGGUCCUCUUAAAAGGAAGAAAAAGAACAUUACGAAGGUCAAAUAUUUCAACUGUGGCAAUAAGGGACAUUUUGCUCGUGACUGUACUGAGCUCAAAAAGAUAAACGGCCUUUUAGCACUUAAAAGUGCAAUAAAUGUUUCUAGUUCUAUUUUGCUUACUGAAUCUAAUCCUUUGUGGACUGUAGACUCAGGCACGACAGAUCAUGUAGCGAAGGAUCGAGAUGUCUUCAUAGAUUUUCGGAGACUCCCACAUGGGGCGAGAUGGAUUUAUGUCAGGAACAACUCCAAAGUAGAGGUGAAGGGGAUUGGCACAUGCAAGUUAGUCAUGCAUGGCCGUCGAACCCUAAUCCUGCAUGAUGUUCUGUUUGCUUCAAAAAUUUGUUGGAAUUUGGUUUCUAUUUUAGUACUGCUAAAAUAUGGUUUCAUUGUAUAUUUCCAUGGAUGUGGCAUGAAUUUGUUUUUAAAUUCAAGUUUUUAUGGUUCUAGAUAUUUUCUAGAUGGUUUCAUUGUGUUGGAUAUUGUUAAUGAUUCCAAUAAUGUAUGUUUUUUCCUUAUUUACAUCUUCUGAUGAGUCUUUGAAUGAUGUGAAUGUAUGGCAUGCUAGACUUGGCUAAAUAGGUCAACAAUGUAUGCAAAGACUGGCCAAAGGGGGCUUAUUAGAUAGUAUUAAUAAGGUAGAAUUGUCUACUUGUGAAUAUUGCCUAAUUGGAAAAAUAUGUAGAAAACCAUUUGGAAAGGGAACGAGAGCUGAAUUUCUAUUACAAUUAAUUCAUUAUGACAUAUGUAGUCCAAUGAAUGUAAGGGCUAGGCAUGGGGCUAUUUAUUUUAUCACAUUUAUAGAUGACUUUAUCCAAUUCGAUUACGUUUAUUUGAUAUCUCAUAAAUCUGAAGCUUUAAGUUGCUUCAUAAAAUAUUUGAAUUUAGUUGAGAAUCAAUUAGACAGAAAAGUAAAGGCUUUAAGAACUGAUCGAGGAUGAGAGUAUUGAUUUGAUCAGUUCAGAGAAUUAUGUGAUGAAAGAGGAAUAGAAUGACAGUUGGCUAUUCCAGAUACAUCAUAAUAAAAUGGUGUUGCGGAAAGACAAAAUAGAAUCUUGUUAGAAAUGGUUAGGUCAAUGAUAGCACAAGUUAAUUUGCCAAUUAUCUAUUGGGGUGAUGCACUAUUAACAGCCACAUUUGUACUUUAUCGAGUGCCUACCAAAUCUGUUACUUCCACAUUAUAUGAGUUAUGGAUGAUAGGCAAACUAGACUUAGGUUUUAUGAAACCUUGGGGUUAUGCUGCAUUUGCUCAUGAACCUUCCCAUAAAUUUGGAAAAUUAGGUCCGAGGGAGAAGAAAUGUAUUUUUAUAAGAUACUCAGAAUAGUCAAAAGGAUAUGUGUUCAUCGGUGAGUAAGAUAAUGGAAGUAUAACAGAAUUUGAAUCACGAGAUGUCACGUUCUUAGAGAACGAUUUUUUGUGGCAAAGUGAGAUAGGUCAAGACUUAUCUCUAUACAAAACUCUUGGUCAGGAUGUUUUCACUGUAGAAAUUCAAUCGGAUAUACUUCCGAGUGGGAGUAAUUUGAAUAAUGAUAAAUUUGUUUCUUCGAAUUCACAAUUGCACCCUAAAGUGAGUCCAACUGAGAUACCUGAUCCAAGUGGGAGUAACCAAGUCAUUGAAGAGUCAAUGCCACUACGACGAAUGAGUCAUAAAAGUGUUCCCCAUCGACGUUUUGAGAUCGAAGGAGAAGCAUUUAUCGUUACUCCUGAUGAAGAGGAGCCAAGAAACAUUAAUGAGGCUCUUUUAUAUCCUACUAAGAAAAAAUGGAUUAAGGCAAUGGAAGAGGAAAUGGAGUCUAUGAAUCAGACCAAGUUUGGAAACUGGUCGAUUUGCCUUUGGGAUGUAAAGCAAUUAGAAACAAGUGGGUUAUCAAAAUAAAGUGUAAGGCAGACGGCAGUAUCGAGAGAUACAAAGCUCAUCUAGUGGCUAAAGAGUACACACAAUAGGAAGGAAUAGAUUAUGAGGAAAUUUUUUCACCUGUUGUAAGGUUAACCUCGAUAAGAUUAAUUUUGGCUGUGGUGGCUAACUUGGAUUUUGAACUACAUCAAAUAGAUGUGAAGACUGCUUUUCUCAAUGGAGAAUUAGAGGAAGAAAUCUAUACGAAACAGCCCAUGGGUUUUGUUAAAGAAGGCCAAGAACACAAAAUGUGUAGACUUUUGAAGUCAAUUUAUAGUCCCAAACAGUCUUCUAGACAAUGGUAUAUAAGAUUUCAUAAUGCAAUCAUAUCAUAUGAUUUCACUAUGAUCAAUAAGGAUCAUUGUGUAUAUACCAAAAAGUCUAAGGAUAAAUUUGUUAUCUUAUCUUUGUAUGUAGACGAUAUACUGAUGGCCGAAAAUGAUAAGAGGUAUAUUAACACUAUCAAAGGAUGGUUAUCAUCUAAUUUUGAGAUGAAAAAUAUGAGCGAAGCUGUAUAUAUCUUUGGAGUUAAGAUUUCAAGGGAUUGCUCAAAGAAGUUAUUGUCUCUUUCAUAAGAGUCGUACAUUAAGAAGGUUCUAAAGCGAUUCAAUAUGCAAGAUUGCAAAUCCAUAGAUACUCCCAUUUUCAAAGGUGAAGUUUUAAGCCGAAGGUUAUGUCCUAAGACUUUAUAAGGAUCAGAUGAGAAAUGUUUUUUAUGCCAAUGCGGUCGGAAGCCUUAUGUACGCUAUGAUAUGUACUAGACCUGAUAUUUGCAAUGCAGUCAACAUGGUAAGUAGAUAUCAAUUUGAGCUUGGGCAAACACAUUGAAAAGUAGUGAAGAGGAUACUAAGGUAUCUCAAGGGCACAGUUGAUUACUCAUUGUGUUAUCAAGGAGGUGAUCUACAAUUGAAAGGCUAUACGAAUGCUAACUGGGGAAGAGAUCUGGAUGAGAGAAAAUCUAUCUCUGAAUAAGUCUUCUUACUGAAUAAUGACGCCAUAUCAUGGAGCAAUAACAAACAAUCAUGUAUAGCCCUAUCUACAAUGGAAGCUGAGUUCGUAGUAUUUUCAGCUGCUGUGAAAGAGGCUGUUUGGUUAAAGCGGUUUUUGAUACACUUGGGAGUAUCUGACAGUACUGUUGACCCGAUGACUAUGAAUUGUGAUAGUCAAGCAACAAUAGCUUAUAUGAAGGACCCCAAGUAUCAUAAAAAAAUCAAGCACAUAGACAUUAAAUAUAAUUUUAUUAGGAACAUGGUUGCACAUAGAGAAGUGAAUAUGAAGUACAUUUCUACAUACGAGAUGAUAGCACAUCCAUUUACAAAGUCUAUUAUAAAAGAUGUUUUCCAUAGGCAUAUAAAGUCAUUGGGUUUGCGUAGAUGUUGAUGUACUUGUAUUUGAAUUUAUUUUCCAACAUGUUCAUGUAAAUAAUAUUGUUUGUGGUAAUGUGAUUGACGUUUAAUUGCAAUUUGUUAUGAAACAUACAUACACAUUUAUGUUGAGUACAUAAACCAAUUAUUAUGAGAAGUAUGUUGGAUAGAUAAGAAGACUAGCCUCCUCACACAGGCAAUCGCCUCCAUGACCUAAGUGGAAAUGGAGAUGAGACUGUUAUAAGUUUUAUUAUCUAGAUGAUAAUAUUGAGAGCUUAAACUUAUAACAUGAAAAAUCGUCUCAAGUGAAACGAGAAUAAAGAGUCACAUUAUGUGAUUGAGUCACAUUAUCUGUCUUGAAUGCCAGAUGUGAGUUCCAAUGUAUAAAGAUAGAGUAGACUAAGGAACUCAAAGUUAGGUAUUGAGUGUGUCUGAACUAUUAUCUGUACGAUAUCUGAUAUAGAGACAUAUGCUCUAUGGGAAAGGAGAUGAUACCGUAGCAUAUGAUUCAUGCCACGUGUACUUGUGUCUAAUAAGGGGAAUACAAGUUAAGAUCUCUGCUUGUUAUUGUGUGAGAUCCUAAAGAUUAUAAGUAAUCUUUACCUAUACCCUCGUGACUCCGAUCUGUUACUUAAGACUUAGUUUAAUGUUUGCUAUCUUAGGGUGUUGCCAAAGGACUAUGUUAGAUAUGGUCUAACGGAGCAUUCCUGGAAAAGCAAAUUAAAUUAAGAUCGAGAGAAUCAAGAGAAGAGGAAGAUCAUUGAGUAUUAUCAUAUUGGUUGUGUUCAUUGACUAGUCAAUUAUGUUUGUCUAAGUGAUAUGACAUAAUUAUGAACUCCAAUGCAUUUAAUGAGAUAAGAAGAGAUGUAAAUGUGAUAAAUGAUCUAGGGUACAGCAUACUGCAUCUACUCUAACUCCACCAAUCGAGGAGCUAUAUUAUCCUAAUAGAUGUAUAGUACUUGAGCUCUCAAAGUAUGCACUGGUCACACGGUCUAUUUGUUUAGUAUGAAAGUUGCAGUGGUUAAGAAUGAACUUAAUCCCAUCAUGUGUGAGUGGGAGAUGAAGCAAAUAAACCAUCCAUGAUAGACUCAAAGAAUCAGACCCGUAUCCAAGCCCAUGUUGCCACUUCAAGCUUCAAAAAGAGAGACACGUGAUUUGUAGUUUUGUAAAGCAAAAACUGCUCACUUAGUGGAAGUUAUUUUUUUUGAACUUCAUAUUUUUAUGAAGAGGGACGUUACUUGUGAUGGUUAUCUCAUCUAAUUGUGAAGAUACGACUCUAAUGUAUGUAGGCAAAAACAAGAGAAAUUGAAAACUCUUCUCUGAUGCCUUAAGUGGGUGCUGCUCUUUCUUUCUCAAAUUAAUUCUAAUGAAGGACACUACAAUCUGAGUUAACUUUAGACUAUGAACAUAGGAUUAUGAUCCAUUUUAUGUGAUCAUAAUUGAGACUAUGUGAUACAAUAGAUUAAGUUUUAAGGGUGUUUGCAUGUAACCUCGAAUUUAUUCAUGGUUCAAAAACAAAUUAAAGUAGGAAUACGAGGGAGCUUAUCCUACUUGAGUCGCAAAACAAAUUUCAUGACAUCUGAUGGUUGUCAUGACAUCAUAGGAUAAGAACAAAAGUGUCGAUAUUUCAUAUUACAACAAUGACCUUCCUCAAAGUAGAAGAUCUAUCAUUGACCAUUUAUCUUCAUCGUACAACAAACACACUAUGAAAGUUGGGUAUAAAGAUGCUACCUAUACGCUUAAGUUUUUCGUGAAGCAUACAAGGAAGAUGUGCUAGGAGCCACAAAGCUGCAAUAUCUCCAAAUUGACCAUCUAAAAUAUAAGAAGACACAAACAACAAUGACAAGCACAGAUACUUGAAUUCAUUUUGAUGAAUAUGCUAACCCUUUUACUCACAAACUACAUCAACCUUGUCAUUUUCAGAACAAUUAAGACAAGCGAUAACUGGUUUCCUGAACCAAUAACUGGUUACUGUGAAGCUCCUUUUUUAAAACAAUUCAUUUGAAAGUAAUGAGCCAGAAAUAUCAGCUACUCACUCAAAUCAUCAUCCAGGAAAUCAAGAUCAGCAUCAUCUUCAUCAGUUGCAGCACCCAUGGUGGCAGGAUGAACCUCUAAUGGCUCAACUAUUUCAGGUAAUGCGACAAUUUCUGUAUGAUCUUUCCGUGAUGCUGUAUCUGAACCUUCAUUCUCAUUCACAUCAUUUUCAUAUGCCUCUGCUUGUUCUGCCUCAUUAUAAAGAAUCUCCUAUAUUCACAAGAGAGCAAAUUAAUUCAGUUAAUAAUCAAGAGAAAAAAAAAAAAAAGACCCAGCAAAAGGUAAAAGAAAAAUAUUAGUGCUACCUCAUCUUCUUGGAAAGACAGCUUCUCAGACUCAACAACCCAAUUAUCUAGUAAGCUCUCUAGCAUGCCACUGUCAAGAGAUAUGGAGCCAUCAGUAGUUCUCUUUAAUUGUCGCUCCCUAAGACGCAAGUUGUAAUGGACAUAAGCAAAAUCAUUUAAUUUCUUCUGGGCCAAACGGUUAUGCCUUGUACUAUGAAUUUGAUCAAAUAUACUCCAAUGGUGUUCACAACCAAAGGACGUACAUGUCUGGCUCAAAAUGCGAAUAGCAAUUCGUUGCAAUUCAAGACAAUUUAUCCCAUGUUGUUGCCACCACGCAGCUGUCAAUGAAAGGAAGAACAAGAACAACAAAGAAGCAAUGGUUCAAACUCUAUUCUGCCAUAACAAUAAGACAACAACCGCAUCUGACAAAGGAUGCACAAGGCAAUAUAGUUUAUAAGCCAUAUAGUUUCGCGUGCUGAUCAUAUGAAUUAUCACCUGGAUCCAGCUCCAUUCUUGUACUCAAAGCCAGUUCAGUUCCAAAAUCAGCUUUAGCAAAAACAAAAUCAGAAAUCUAGGAUGAACAACAUAAGAUCACAGAAUAUUAAUAAAAGAAUCUGUUAGAAAAUUUACAGGUUAUCAUGAUAUUAAUGGUUAAAAAAUGAUUUAAGUUAGACAGACAGUACCUGCGAAGCAGCAGAAACUCUUCUUCCAUGAUCUGGUUCUAGUCGAGUUAUGCAUUCAUUUAGACCUCGGAUAACCUCUGGUAGCUACAAAUUAGAAAAUAACAAUUCAAAAUUAGAAUACAAACAUUGUACUCUUGGGAUUUAAGCAUGCGAUGCUAUAAUCAUACCACCAUGAAAUCUGGACGAUAACGAUAUGAUGGAUUAAGGAAGUAUGCUGCAACAUAUAGGGCAUGGUUGAAAACAGCACUCCAAUGGUUGUCUAUUACACUCCAGAAGGGACCAUAUUUUCGCUCAUCAUCAGCAUGGAUGGCUUUAAUAGCAAGUUUAGCUCGGUAGAUGUCAUUAUAAAUAGAUGGCAUAGACAACCCUUCAGUGCUGUCAACUUUUUUAAACAUCUGUACAACAGGAUCAACAGAUUUUUUAACAUAUUGCAUCUUCUUCCAGAAUGUGGAGUUGAAGACAAUUUUUUCAACUUCUUUACCCUCAUCUGAUUUUGCUAAUUGGGACAAAAUCCAUUUAUUUGAUUGGAACAUUCUUCUGAGAGCAGCCCUAUGAUCCAGCAAGCUUUGUAAAGUAAGAAAGCUGGUUGCAAACUUGGUAACAGCUGGUCUAAGAAGUUCCUUUCCCGCUGUAAAUUCCUUUUUCAUAAGGUUUAACAACCAUAUGCGGUUAUAAAUAAAUUUAACAAUUUUUUGGCCUUUGUCAAUGCACUCUCUGACCCAUUUUAUCUUCACAAAAUCCUCAAGAAUUUGAUCGAUGCAGUAGGCAGCACAGGGCGUCCAAAAUAAACUUCUCCUCUUCUCCUCCAGCAUCUUCCCAGCAGCUUUAUAGUUUGCAUUAUUUUCUGUAAUUACCUGUAAUAAUAAUUCAUGCUACCAAGAAAUUACCAUCAAAGUAUAAUGAAAUAUUCAGGAAAAAGUCUCAAACUCAGAAUGUAGAUUUCACUCUAUAAUGUAUGUGAUCAGCCAAAAACUUAAGAAAUUGAAAGAAAAAGAGUUAAGUACCUGUACAACAUUUCCCUCGCCUACCUCCUCCACAACAUUGUCCAAGAGCUUAAAAAGACUGGUAACAUCUUUGAUUACAUCAGAUGCAUCAAUGGAGGAAAUGAAGUAUGUCCCUCUGGGGCAAGACACCAAGAAAUUGACUAUUGUCUGUCCCUGCACAUCUUUCCAGCUAUCUGCGAUAAUUGUACAGCCAGUUGUAGCCCAAGAAGCCUUGAUUUCUACAAGAUAUUCUUUAAUACUUCCAACUUCAUCCUGCAGACAUCGACCAGAAAUUAAUCUGGUUGUAGGGCUUUUUAAUCCAUGUCCAUAUUGACCAACCACAUCCAGCAUCUUGUGAAAGUAUGGCGAAUCUGCGACAUUGAAAGGUAUUGCAGCAUAAUAGAAAAAUUUGCAGAUUGCAGAGGUUACUUCUUUACGGCUCUUUUUUUCAGAUCCUGCCUUCUGUUUUGAUUGCUUGCACCAUAAUGGUACCUGGCUUUUCUGUGUCUUUGCAAUUACAGCAUCUGGAUUCAUCUGUUUCAGUUGUAGGUCAGUAUCGCUUGUACCACUUUCCAGUGACCUCCCUCUAGAUCUUUUUCUUAUGGUUUUACUACAAGAAACAUCUUGAUCACCCAUCAUACGAUUUGCUUUGUUUUUACCAUUUGCAAGCCCUUCUUCCUCAUCAUUGUCUGGAUGCAUAUAUAAUGCUGCAAGUUCUUUGGCUUCAGGCCUUCUUCUCCUUCCUGUGCGAUGCCAUUUCAUAUUUUCUUUCAUUUUAAGAUAUACUUCCUCGGGAGCCAUCUUACAGUAUGCAACUUCCCCAGGAAUUCUGGCUAAAUGCUGUUUGAACCUGUUUAUACCACCACUAACUAUUUUCUCACAAUAAUUGCAUUUAACCUUUUUUUCUUCUCAUCUUGAGCAACGCCAUGUUCCCAUCCUGGGUCAACAUACCCUAAUGACCGUAGUGGGGCUAUAGCUGUGACCAAGCUUUGAUCAUUUCCAAUCUGCCUUCCCUUGCGUCUAUAACCAACAGGUUCUUCAUCCUCUUCAUCAUCAUCAUUUGAAUGUAAAUCGAAGGAUUGCUCUUCAUCCUCUGAUUGUCGUUUUUUGCUAGCCCUGUAUCCUUCAAGAUUUUCUUUCAUUUUCAUAUACACCUCUUCAGGAGCCUUUUUACAGUAUGUAACUUCGCCAGAAAUUCUAGCCAAAUGCUGCUUCAAUCUGUAUAUUCCCCCGCUUACUAUUUUCCCACAGUAAUUGCAUUUUACCUUUUUCUUCCUCUCAUCUUGAGCAACACCAUGUUCCCAUCCAGGGUCAGUAAACCCUGUUAAGCGAAGUGGAGCCAUCUCUUCAACCAUUAAUCAUGCAGCACAACAGCUUCACCCUUUGGCAUCCUAUUAUCUAGCUUCUACAAAACUGGAAAAAGAGCACACCUACAUUAAAACUUGAAUCAAGAAAAGAUGUUUUCCUGAGAUCACUUGUAAUUGGUGAGAAACUCUGUCAGUAACAGCAUCGUCAUAAAGAUCUUGGCAGCAAGCCAGGAGAAAAAAGGAAGAAAACAUUUUUGUCUUACACAUGAGUUAUCUGAUAAGACUAAAAAGAAGAGAGAAGAAUAUUGAGACAUUGUGCAUUGGCGCCUGUGCACACACACAUAUAUAUAGUAUUAAGUAGCAUGAAAUAGAUAUGUUUUAUGAAACAUCCAUCCACAACUCUCUAUGUACAUCUUCUGAUGCCACUAACCUUUAAUUCAUGUAUGGUUUGUCAAGGAAUAUGCAACCAUGUAAACUGAAAAGCAUCCGGAUUGCUAAACAGAGAGGAAAGAGCUAUACUACAUGGACUCAGGUUCAUGUGUUGGGUGUGGCUGCAUGUCAAAGUGUCUGAUUUUCAAUACCUACGAAUAUCUCCUUGUGAAGCCAUGCCCCAGUGCCAUACCAGUGUUCAUGUGUUGGGUACUACAUGGGGGAAUAGAAAGAAAACUUAGAUAUUAUGAUUAUUGCUUUAUAAAUGUCAUUAGCAUCUUAAAAGUGAGAUGCAAAACAUGAAACAGAAGUCAGAGAAGAAGCUCCAUUGCUUGAUGUAAACAGUUAGCCACAUUUAAUUGGUUGGCUAAAUUCUGCAUAUCACAAUUGAAUGAAAACAUAUGCAAGAAAACAUGAUCCAAAAGUUUACCUGCUACCGUUCAAGACAACUUUCUGCCAGAUUAAUCCAUCACAAAUAUUAUGUAAUGUUGUGGACCUUUUAGGAUGAUGGUAACAUUGUUUUGACAUAAAGACUUCGUGACUGCAACAUCAAAGUCAGCCAUUCCCUGAUCUGAAUCCAUCCAGCAAUAUAGAUACUAAGAUAUUUAUGGUAGAGAUAUCCACAAAAAGGCCUCAAUAUAGUGGAAGCUGGAGAAAAAAAUCAUGCAACCUGAAAAAUCACUAGUUCCUUGCUCCUUGCAUAUUGUACUUUGCUUGGUUGAUAUGCUGGGAUUUCUACUGUUGCAGAUUUCCUGAUGAGUAACACUGCCACUUUGCGACUCCAGGAGCCACCAAACAGGAAUUUUUUCCAAACAAAACCAUUACGCAAAGCUGAAGAUUCUCACUUAAACCUAUCUUAACUGACAAAUAUAAUCAAUCCAAAAUGUACUAAAAGAAGCACAAGUCUUCAGCUGGAACAACAAAGGACAAAAAUGGAACAUGUUGAACAGCAUGGAAAUUUACAGCCUCCUGACAAACUGCAAUUUCAAAAAUGUCAAAAACUGAAUCAAUAUAGUUCAUUAAUGUUCUUAUUUUCAGUGCUUCAGGUUAAUAAUUCAAAUGUGAUCAAUUUUCUAUGAAGCAUGUGUAGAAAAAUACAAAGGAACCAAAGAGCCUUAUUAAGUCCUUUCAAGUGUAACUUUACAAGUCAGAGGAACAGAAAGUAACAAUUAUAUAUACCUGGCAACAAGAAUAUUUCUGUGAAAGUACAUACUUAACCGACCAACCAACAGCGUUGUAUAACCAUUAUAUAGCUGAACUAGAAUUUGUUAUUUUUUGAUUGGAAGCAGACUAGGUGAAACAUUCUUACAAAAGACUGCUGCCAAUUAUGACCAUUAUGAAGAACAAAGAACUACACCACCAUUCUUUAAGUGAGAUGAUGAUGGAGGCAAACCAAAUAACACUCAAGACAUUAAAAUAUCAAUAAAUCCAGUUCUUAAAAUUGAUAAUGCAAAUCUGGAAAAGAAUCAUCAUGCGUCAAUAAACCUUUAGCAUCAUAUAGCCUUGCUUUCAAACGCUUCAGCUGUUUUGGGAGGACAAAUAUAGAUGAGUUAACCUGUAAAUCUCUUUCCAAGGAAGCAUAUUCCUCAAUAAACCUUUAGCAUCAUAUAGCCUUGCUUUCAAAGGCUUCUGCAAUUUUGGGAGGACAAAUAUAGAUGAGUUAACCUGCAAAUCUCUUUCCGAGGAAGCAUAUUCCUCUUAAUUAUUCUGCCUGGGGCAAAUUGAGGUGGCAGUUCAGUUUAGUGGAGAAGCAUACACUUCGGAAAAUGGUGGUUACAAAUAUUGUAAUUUUUCAAUUUGUUCAUGCAUUGAGGUAUAAUCUACAUAGCAUGAUAUUUUCCAAUUUCUCAUUAAAUCCUUAAUUUCCCAAGCUCAUCGACUUUCCUACUCUAGUACUCCAUAAAAUAUGAUUUGGUACAAAAAAGAAUUUAGAAAAGGGCAUCCCAUUGGACAAGGCUCCUGCCACUGCCAGGUUUGAGAAGGGUUUGACGUAGGGGUGGCAAACGGGUCGGGUCGGUCAUAAACGAGUCGGAUCAGAAAAUGGUCAACCCAAACCCAACCUGUUUAUUAAACGGGUCAAAAAUUCAAACCUGAACCCGACCUGUUUAUUAAACAGGUAACCCGACCCGACCCGUUUAACCCGUUUAUUAAAUAAGUCAAAUUAGGUUAAACGGAUUAAAUAGGUUAAACGGGUCAAAUUAAAUGGGUCAGAAACAGGUUAAACAGAUUUUAAACAGGUUAAAUGGAUCUUAAACAGGUUAAACAGGUCGGAUUAAAUGGGUCAGAAAUAGGUUAAAUAGGUUAAAUGGGUUAUCUGACUCAAUCUAAUCUAAAUAUUAAACGGGUUAAACGGGUUAGAUAUUUAAAACCCAUAUCCAACCCACUUAUUAAACGGGUUAAACGGAUCGACCCGUUUAUGAUCCGAAUCCGUUUAGCCUAAACCCAAACAUGUUUAUGGCGGGUCGAAUACGGGUCGGAUUGGCGGGUCGGAUCAUAUUUUGCCAGCUCUAGUUUGACGUAUGCAGCCCUACCCCCACAUGCAGAAGAAGGGCUAUUUCUGUUCCUUGAACCAAUGACAGAGUAAACUUGCCAUUGCACCAAUGCCCACCUUGUUUUCAUCUAAAAAGGAAUUUGUGAUCAUUUAUUCUCUAAAUUCCAUUCAUAAUUCAAGUCCACAUGGAACUAUUGCCAUUAAGGCUAGGUCAGAAUGAAGCAAAUUUGCCUGACUUUGGGGAGUGAGGCAUGGCAUCGAACAUCUUCCAAUACUCUCAUCAACCAACACUACAUCAUUCUCAAAUAACCUUCGCUGAAGAGUCUCCUCUAGCAUUUGAACAGUUGUGCACUGAAAAAGUCAAAAAUGACAUGCACUUAAAGUUUAUCCCAAGCAAAGGCUUGUUCCUGUGACAAAGUCCAAAACCUAGGUAUCAUGUAUGCCUAUUGUCACUCCUAUUCACAUAUCUUUACCUCCGGCAAUAUUUACCCAUUCGAAAUUUGUUAUUUCAUGACCCAUCAAACAAGACAUUCGCAUCUUAUAUAAGUACAAAUUCCAUUACAUGGUGAUCUUAUCCUGCCAGCUUGAGCUGAAGCUCUCAUUAUCUACUCCUUUAUCUAGUUACACUGUUACAACUCAACUGCAGCUAGAUAUUAAAGCUUUUGCUUUAUUUUUCUAAAUUGCAAAUCGGGAUUUCCCAAAUUCCAACCCACAAGAGCUGAUUUGGCCAGGUAGGUGUUCUCCCAACACGAAAUGCAGUUAUUUUGAUAACCCUAUAAGAACAGCCAGACAUAUGCGCCAUUUUACAGCAGGUCUUACACCCCCCAUUUGUACUAUGAUCUGCAAAACCCUUUGUUUAUAUGAACCGCACUUUAAGAGCAGCUUUAAAUUAUACAUUUGCCUUAAAAUUUAAAUCUUUGAGAAAAAUUUCGUUACAGAAUUCUGAACGACAAAACCCUAAUCGCAAAUCUAACCAAACUAUGGUCGAAUCCAUGGCGAUGACAGUCCACAAAGCCACUUACAAGCCCCGAUCUUUAAUAGAUAAAUCCUCAACUGGUGCUACGAGCAAAAUUCCACUGCAACUCUCCACCCAUGCCAUCUAGAUCCACCAGUACAAAAAGUAACUUCCAAUCCUUCAAAUCCCUCUUAAAAAUCCAAACCUCCGACAAAACCAUCAUUCCUAAAUUCCAAAACUAGAAACCCCUGGUCCCCAAUUCAACGGAAGCAAAACCUAAACCAAGAACAUCAAAUAAAACGAAACUCUAGGAGAAAAAAGAGAUCGAAGCUACUCCCAAAACCGAACCAAAUUAAACGAAAUGAAGAAGAAGCGGACUACUCAAAUAUCAUCGAAAUUCUCGAUUGGCAACAAACAGAUGAGAUUUUUGGAACUACCUCAGGGAAGAUUUGGCUCAGAAUCGGAGGUUUUCUUGCGCGGUACGCACUCCAUCGCCUCGGGGGCACUCCAUCCUGAUCACCGCUUAUUCUCGUCCUCGCGCGUUGACUCGGAGGGGAUAUAGGAAUGAGUCAAGACUGGCGCUAGCAGACUCGGAUCUCAUCCGAACCCGGUCCAAGACUCGGCCGUGCGGUUCGACCCAGCCCGAUUUAAUAACGUGUCAACAAGUUUAGCGUUGCUUCUAGCCAAUGGCCAAUAAUUUAACAGAAAGAAGUAUAUAUAAGACAAUUGGGUCAAAAAUAACUGAUGGAGUCCCGUUGACCUUAAGUUGACCGGAAAUAGGAUGCAUAACCAAUAUUUUUGGAAGAUUUUACUGCUUAAAUCAUGCGUUCUUGUUGUUCUUUUUUAAAAACUUCCGCUGGAUGAAUAUUUUUGGAUGGGGAUUAAAACAACUAAGAAGAGAACUAGAGCAUAUUUAUAUCAGUGAUUUCUUUUUUUUUUUUUAAGGUUAUGGUUAUUAGAUGAUGGUUGAGAAUUGCAAUAUGAUAAACAAAGGAAGGAAAUAUAGAAGAAAUACAGGUAUCAAUGUGCAAUUUUUUCUGUGCCCAUGUAGUUGGAGCACCAAUACACCUUCAUCAAGAAAGAAAAUCAAAUGGAGAAUGUUUGGUUCGCAGGAAGAACUUUUUUUUCUUAAGAUGUAAUUUUCUGAGAAAUAACUUCUCAGAAAGUUAUUUUCUGGGAAUAGAAUUUUAGUAUGUUUGGUUGACCAUGGAAAGAUGACUUAUUAUAAAGUAGCUUAUGUUUGGAUNNNNNNNNNNNNNNNNNNNNNNNNNNNNNNNNNNNNNNNNNNNNNNNNNNNNNNNNNNNNNNNNNNNNNNNNNNNNNNNNNNNNNNNNNNNNNNNNNNNNNNNNNNNNNNNNNNNNNNNNNNNNNNNNNNNNNNNNNNNNNNNNNNNNNNNNNNNNNNNNNNNNNNNNNNNNNNNNNNNNNNNNNNNNNNNNNNNNNNNNNNNNNNNNNNNNNAGAAAAAAAAAAUACUAUCACUUUUCAUAUCAUGAUAAGUGUCAAAAUCCACUUUCUCCAUGAAUUUUUAUUUUUCAUAAAAAGUACUUUUUUCACUCUCUCUCUUCUUAAAACUCCAACCAAACAAAAGGUACUUUCUUCACUUCUCAAGAUGUGCCUCUUCCUCCCUUCAUUUUUUGUCAACCAAACGAGUCCUAAGGAGAGGAUCUGCACUGAAAAUAAAUGACCCCGAUCAGCUCAUGAAUCUAAUCCCUUGGGAAAGAUGGGGCAGAGCCCAACAGUACGUAAUUUACUUCUCAUCCAUAGACUCUCCAUCCAUCCGAACAGAGAUGAGAAGCUCGCCAAGAUGGCUUCAAAGAUCCCUCCUUUCGUCUCUUUGUAAGGCUUUUCAGCUCCAAUAUUUUCAGACUUUUGGGAUAUUGAACAAAGAUAUCUUUUCGAGAAGCUGUCCAAGUUUUGCACCUUUUUUGGUUCCAGGAUGAUGGAGGUCACAAGUUUUACUCUUUCUCGAUCUCUAUGUGCCUCAUAUAGUUGAUCUUUCCAUAUCUAAAAUUAAUACAACGAGCAACCAGCUCUUGCUGCUUUAAAUAGGGAUCUAUCUCGUGUUGGAUGUCGAAUGGCCACUUUUUUUUGUUGUAAACUCAUAUGGUUCUUCCUCCUCUAUACCUAGUAAAUUGGUGUACCAGGUGUCCGAUGAGACACAUAUUGGAAGAAUUGCAACUUGAGAUGCACGAAAAGCUCUACAUCGGUGGAGCUUGGAAUCCAAAUUCUACUGUCUUCAUUUCCUUCUACAUCGGUGGAGCUUGGAAUCAACUCACUGGUGUCGAUCACCUAGUAGCCACACCCGUUUUCCUUGUACUAUUCUUGGCUUCCUUGGUUCUCAAGGUGGGAGUAAUUACUAAUUAUUGGAGUUGAUCCCAGGGCUAUAAAAGGAUUGGAUGUGGAUCAGAUAUCAUUAUAUCUAUAUCAAUAUCUAUUUCUAUUUAAUGAAGAUGGAUGCGGAUACAUAUAUUAGUUAAAUAUAAAAAUUUAUAUCUAUAUAUUUUAUAAAUUUCAUAUAUUUAAAAAUAUAGACAUAAAUAUAAAUAUAAGUCGAAUAGUUAAAUUUUUUAAUGGGCAUCAGAUCAAAGAUAUUACUAAAUAGAAAGUAAAUUAUGUUAAUAUCAUGGUCACUUAUUUCCUCUGAAAGUUCGUUGAUGCUAUAUAAAAUUAAGUAAAAUUACAAAUAGAAUUAGAUACUCGAAUAUGAAUGGAAUAAUUAUCUACCUAUGUUUACAUCUAGUUUUCUUUGAUGUAUAUAAAAAUAUGAUAUCGGAUGUUUAAAUUUAUAUUAAUAUCAAGAUAGAUUCAUAUAUGAAAAUGGAUUCAGAUAAAUAUUAUCUAUACGACUAUGCCCUAAUACAUCUAGGGGGAGUUUGGUUCGUAAUCGAAAUCGGAAUGGUUUGGAAUCAGAAUCGAAAUGGUCAAAUCCUCCGAAGUAUUUGGUUUCGUGAUCGGAAUCGGAAUUGGAAUGAAAAUUUGAAUCCAUAGAGGAGAGUAGGGAUUGAGUGCUAUAUAGAUUGAGCCAUUCCCAUUCUACCUUAAAAUCGAAAUCGGAAUAGGACUCUUCCCAAUCAAAUGGUUGGAAUGGGAGUCAUCCAUUUCGAUUUCGAUUCCAAACCCCUACUCUCUCCAAUCAAACACCCCCUAGUUGAUUUAACCGCUAAUAUAUGGAUUUAGUCUUUUAUUUGGCAUAUAGGGAUUAGGAUUUAUUCCAUAGCGUAAACAAAAGGGAUGAGACAGCAUGUCAACGGAAAGGCCCAUGGCAUAGAGAAAUUAUUAGGUAGAUGAGAUCCACCAUGGACGUAGGGAAGAUUCAUCAUGGAUGAAGAUUCAUCAUAGAUGGAUUCAUUUCAUUUCAUCCUAGGUCUAUGGUAGACUUAGUCUACCAACAACAAGGCCAUGGCUCGAGCUCUCAGCCCUUAUCGAUUUUGCAGGAUGAAUGGAUGUCAUAAUUUGUGGCAGCCCAGAAAAAGCAGAUAAAAACUUUGCAUGUGUACAUGUCAAAGUAUAUAAUGAAGUACUAACGAUGCUGCGCUACAUUGCUAUUGUUAAAAAAUUUUAUAAAACAAAAAAAGAGGCAUUUGACUGCUAGAUUAUAUAAAGAAUACAUAUGCAUCAUGGAUGGCAUGGAAGGACAACCUCCAAAAACUAGCAUCCUGAACUCCAUGAUGCAUGGCCUACGGGCUCUACCUUGGAGCUUAUAAUGAGUCUAGCUAGCUUCCACGGACUCGCAUCCUAAUCUCCAAUGAUGCACAGUCUGGAAGCUUUACUUAGGAGCUCGAAAUGACCCUGGUCGGCCACCAAGGACUUGUGUCCUGAUCUUCAGGGACGUGCGGCCUAAGAGCUUAGUAUGGCUCUGGUCGGCACUCCAGAGACUCGCAUCCUGUGUACAUGGUACUCGCAUCUCAGAUGAUAUAGAAAGGCAAUCUCCAGGAACACACAUCCUAAUCUCCAGAGAUGAGGGGUCUGAGAGCUAGGCCAGGGAGAUCGAAAUAGCUCUAGUCGACCUCUAGGGACUUGCACUCAAUCUUCAAGGAUAUGGAGCUUGAGAGCUCAGCCUUCAAGGACUCAUGUCUCAAUCUUCAGGAAUGUACAAUCGAGAGCUCGGCUUGGGAGUACUCGAUAUAGAACUCGCAUCCCAAUUUUGAGCUAGGGGCUCUAAAUGACUCUGGUCGGUCUUCAAAGACUCGCAUCCCAAUAUUCAAGGAUAUGCAACCUAGGAGCUCGGCCGGAUAGCUUGACAUUGGAGCUCGGCCUCCAAGGGGUGGCAUCCCGAUUUCUAGGGAUUUGCAACUUAGGAGUUCUACCUCUUGGCCGCAUGUAAUCCUAAAUCAUAUUAAAAAAAAUCCUAAAGCCAUCCUAAAUAUGUGUUUAAUUUUUUUUAAUAUACAAUACUCGGCUGCAUUUCACUCUAAAUCACAUUAAAAGAACCUAAAAUCCCACAUAUGCAUAUAUGCAUGUGUAUAUAAUAUACACAUACAUAUAUAAAUCAAGAAAAAUUGGGGAUAAGGCAGAUGCUAAAUCGUGCCAAACCUACGUCGCUAUCAGAACUAUUCUUUUUUUUGCCUCUUCCAAUGGAGUGAAUCCAAAUAAGGGAGGGGAGCAGUUUCAAAUUCUAGAGGCAUUCGCACGUAUGUGUAGAUAACUUCCCAUCCACAUACUAGCCCUUUUGUGAAAAGAGAAGCCGUGGUAGAGGAGGGAUGUCUCUUGUGAUGGCAACUCCCACGUGCAUGCUUCUAAACGAAAAGGGUGGUUGAAAAAACAAAAAGGCUAGGUGAGAACCAGCGGGCUAGAAUUUGUACUUCUUGCUCAAGUGCAUAGCGGACAACCCCCACUGUCCAAGAAAUAGAUGAAAAAUAUGGACACCAAACGAUAGUUCCAUUAAAAAUAGAUCCAUGGAUGUGAUCUUACCAUGCCCCUCUGACAUUUGCCAUCAUAUAAAAAUGGAUAGGGACUGAUCACCUAUAUGAAAUUCUUGACUUUUUCGUUGUUUAUCCAUACAACGAAUGACAUGAGUAUAAAAAAAAAAAAAAAUCUAAAUACACAAUAUCCUAUCUUGCAUCAUCGAAUAAGAUUUUGCCAUACAUUUUUUUUGGACGUACAACCAUAACCUAAACAUUUGAUUGAAUGCAUGCCAAGCUUAGCAUAUUCUCUAUUCCGGUACUCAACCACGUUCAGAGGAAACAAAAAACUUUGUCUAAUCUUCAAGUCCAACAAAAAAAUAGAUGUAUUAUAUUUAAUUUUUUAUUUUUUUCUUCUGAUCUAACUCAAAAUGAGAUCCCACCAUUAUCCAUGAGAUCAAUAGAAAGACAUAAUUUUUUCUUUAUCAAACAACAAUGAGGAUCGCAAUAUAUAUCCUUCUUUUCAUUUUUUUUAAAGUAAAUUACCCUGACUCCUAUCGAGAUUUGGGAUAAUUAUAUGAUCCCAUCUAAUAUUUCAAAAAUAUACACAUAACCUCCUGAUCAGAUAUAAAAAAUAAAAAAUUAUAAAAUUAUAAAAUAUUUUAAGAUUCAAAUAAAUUAGAUAGUGAUAAUAUUAAUAAAAAUUAUCAAAUAGAUCAAUAGUUUAUUUAACAGAAAAAUAUUCGUAGAGGUACAUGUCAUGUAUAUAACAAAAAUUAAAUAAUAAAAUAUUUAUUUUUAAAAUAUUAGAUAAAAAUCUAUAAUUAUUUCAAAUUUUGAGAAAAAUUAUUGUAAUUUUUUUUUUAAUAAGUCCCAUCGGAAGACUCCUUUACGCCCACAUGCUCCUCAAAGUACAGCACUCUCUACAGACUACUAAGGUUGAGGAAUGGACAUACGUUGCACCCGAGAAUCAUCUGAGUUGCCCUUUAAUAUAUAAGUAAUAUUUUUCCUUUUUUUUCCUUUGAGAAAAUCGUAUGGGAUAUUGAAUCAAAUUUAUAUGAGGAUAUUUUCCUGACCAUAUGCUUGCAUGGAUUCACUUUUGACACUUCUUCUAAUAAUUUCUCCCCACCAGUUUUAUAUCAGAUAUCUCAUACAUCCUUCUCUUCUGGAAGUAUCUAAAACAACCAUUAUUUACAAGAUUUAACUCCAAUCCACUCACAAAUGCGCGAGAAUCAUAUCAAGGUUCAAAUAUCAUCUAAAAAUCAUCAAGUUGGGGAUUUUGAAUGGUUUCCCUAAUUUGCUAAUUUAAUCUGAAAUGCCAAUGGAUACAAAUCAAUCAAUCUAUGGUACAGCUUAAUAAUGUUAUAAUCUUGGUCCUUUGAUAAAUAUAUUUUUUCUUUUUCCAAAAAACAGACCUACUUAAACUAUUAUUAUCCAGGUCCAUGUUUAAAGGAGAUGCAUCUCUUAGGAAUUAACACUAGAACAUAUAUUUGAUAAGCCAAAAACCAUCACCAAAAAAACAAGCUUCAGUUCACCGNNNNNNNNNNNNNNNNNNNNNNNNNNNNNNNNNNNNNNNNNNNNNNNNNNNNNNNNNNNNNNNNNNNNNNNNNNNNNNNNNNNNNNNNNNNNNNNNNNNNNNNNNNNNNNNNNNNNNNNNNNNNNNNNNNNNNNNNNNNNNNNNNNNNNNNNNNNNNNNNNNNNNNNNNNNNNNNNNNNNNNNNNNNNNNNNNNNNNNNNNNNNNNNNNNNNNNNNNNNNNNNNNNNNNNNNNNNNNNNNNNNNNNNNNNNNNNNNNNNNNNNNNNNNNNNNNNNNNNNNNNNNNNNNNNNNNNNNNNNNNNNNNNNNNNNNNNNNNNNNNNNNNNNNNNNNNNNNNNNNNNNNNNNNNNNNNNNNNNNNNNNNNNNNNNNNNNNNNNNNNNNNNNNNNNNNNNNNNNNNNNNNNNNNNNNNNNNNNNNNNNNNNNNNNNNNNNNNNNNNNNNNNNNNNNNNNNNNNNNNNNNNNNNNNNNNNNNNNNNNNNNNNNNNNNNNNNNNNNNNNNNNNNNNNNNNNNNNNNNNNNNNNNNNNNNNNNNNNNNNNNNNNNNNNNNNNNNNNNNNNNNNNNNNNNNNNNNNNNNNNNNNNNNNNNNNNNNNNNNNNNNNNNNNNNNNNNNNNNNNNNNNNNNNNNNNNNNNNNNNNNNNNNNNNNNNNNNNNNNNNNNNNNNNNNNNNNNNNNNNNNNNNNNNNNNNNNNNNNNNNNNNNNNNNNNNNNNNNNNNNNNNNNNNNNNNNNNNNNNNNNNNNNNNNNNNNNNNNNNNNNNNNNNNNNNNNNNNNNNNNNNNNNNNNNNNNNNNNNNNNNNNNNNNNNNNNNNNNNNNNNNNNNNNNNNNNNNNNNNNNNNNNNNNNNNNNNNNNNNNNNNNNNNNNNNNNNNNNNNNNNNNNNNNNNNNNNNNNNNNNNNNNNNNNNNNNNNNNNNNNNNNNNNNNNNNNNNNNNNNNNNNNNNNNNNNNNNNNNNNNNNNNNNNNNNNNNNNNNNNNNNNNNNNNNNNNNNNNNNNNNNNNNNNNNNNNNNNNNNNNNNNNNNNNNNNNNNNNNNNNNNNNNNNNNNNNNNNNNNNNNNNNNNNNNNNNNNNNNNNNNNNNNNNNNNNNNNNNNNNNNNNNNNNNNNNNNNNNNNNNNNNNNNNNNNAUAGAAAAUGAAUAUUAAUCUGAGUAACCCAGCCAAACUUUGAAUCUGAACAAAAGGUGUGUAGUAUGCUGAAGCAGGGAUAAGUGCCUCCAUCUAUAAUAGUAAAGAUUUAGCAUGAUUGUUACCAAAGGUGCUGUUAAAAGUGAAGGGAAUCCAUAGCACGAUUCAAGUUGAACCUUCUUUUUAUAAAAAAAAAUUAACAAUGCAGCAUUAUUUCUUCGACCACGCUAUUGCCAGUCCCAGUUGCCACAUGUGUCAUGACUCAGGAAAAAAAAAAAAUAAAAGAAACAAACCGAUGCAUGGAGACUCUGACCUUCCGCCUUUCUUGCCGUCACUCAGACGUUGGAAGCUCGAAAACCCCCCGCCGCGGUGCCGUCGGAAGCCUAAAACUCUGCCCCACUGGAGAGAUCCCUCAAGCGUGGAAUGUCCGCCGUCGGAGACCAGGAGACUCCCCUCAAGUUAGAUCGUUACCAUCGGAUGGUAGGAUGGGUCCGCAUCCUCUCUAUCGAUGGUGGUACCACCGGUGCCUCUGAUGGCCUUCUCAUUGGUGUUGCCCUCACUUGCCUCAAGGCCUCCCUCUGCAAGCUCUCCGGCGACCCCACUGUCCGAAUUGCCAACUUCUUCGCCCACGGCCCCAACGGGCAAUCGCUUUUCUCCGCCUCGAGGCCUCCUCACCCACUCCUGUCUCAUCACUCCCGCUCGUCGUCUCCUAUCUCGCCGUCUCCGUCUUUGUCUCCAGUGCCGUUCAUCUUCUCGUGUCCGUAGGUAGAUGGCUGGAUGUGGUGUAGAUGGAUGGUAAAGGGAGGAGGCCUGGGGGCCUAAAACAAAUUGGGGCCUAAAGCCCUUGCUUUGGUGGCCUUAUCCUUGAGCCGGCACUGCAGUUCACCUGCAUUGGUAAAUUUUUUGCUUGAAUGUAGUAUUGGUAGCUUCGUGACAUGGCUUAUUACUAAAAGCAUGCUAUCUUUGGAUAACAAGAUCUUAAAAAUACUAGAUUCCACUUUAUAGGUUUGCUUUUUCAUAUGAUUUGUGAUCUCAAAAGGACAAAAUCCCCAAGAAGUUUGCAAGAUUCUUAGAUUUUAAUGGGGCAAUCGAAUCUGCUCCCCCAAUUCAUGAUCAGUUUACCGACUAUAUAUCGACAACUGAUGAUGGACCGUCAAAGCAAAACCGUCGAAGAAGUUCCUAUUCAACCACAACGUCUACAAGUCUCAUCAUCCGACGUUUCAUCAGUGCCAUGGAUACGAAAUGUUGACUAUCAGUCAGUAUGUUGACUAACUAUCAGUAAUCCCCAAUCGACUUUCUUGGUUGCUACAAAACAACCAUAACGACUCAAUCGACUACAUAACUGAUGGUCAGUCGGUAUAUCAGAGUCAACAAUUGAUGGUCAGUCGGUAUAUCAAAAGCACCGAUAUGCAGUCGGUACGUUCAGAUCACCGACACUCAGUCGGUAUAUCAAAAUCGACAGUUAUGAUAUCACAAUCGUGGGAAACUACUCCGUACCACGACUGUUAGUGGGCAUAAACUGCCUACUAACUCCAUGAUAACGGUCCGAUAACAAAAGUUAACUAUCUUUUCAUAUCACAAUAAACGGGACUCCACGUGUUCAACGGUUAUACCUAAAUUACCUAUAUAGGGGGAGGUAAGGGGACAGCAAAGGUACACUAUAAAAAAUCUGAUUUUUAACGAUAAAAAAAUUUUCAUCAUAAAUAAAUAUAUUUUUACGAUGAAAAAAAUUUAUUGUCAAAAAUUAAGUAUUUGUGACGAAAAAAAUUUUCAUCGUAAAAAGUUAAAUCUUUUGCGACGAAAUUAUAAUUUUCGUUGUGAGAAGUAAAUCUUUAACGAUCAAUUUUUUUUUAUCGCUGGAGUUUUUAUUUUUUUACGAUGAAUAAAUUUUUUAUCAUCAAAAAUAAAAUUAUUUACGAUGAAACAAAAUUUUCGUUGCUAAAAAUUAAUUAUUGACGAUGAAAUAAUUUUUGUUGCAAAAAAUAUAGUUUUUAUGAAAAAAAAUUUAUAUUUGAUGAUGAAAAUAUUUCAUCACUAAAUAUUAUUUUGUUGAAAAAAAAAUUUGAAUCUUUUGCGAUGAAAUUUUAAUUUUCAUUGCUAAAAUUAUAUUUUUAAUGACAAAAAUUUUUUCAUUACUAGAGUUUUUAUUUUUUUACAACGAAAUAAAUUUUUCAUUGUCAAAAAAAUAAAAUUAUUUACGAUGAAAUAAAUUUUUUAUUGCUAAAAAUUAGUUAUUUACGAUGAAAAAAUUUUCGUUACAAAAAAUAUAGUUUUUACGAUAAAAUUUUUAUAUUUGGCGAUGAAAUUGUUUCGUCGCUAAAGAUUAUUUUGUUGGAAAAAAAAUUAUUGUUUUAGGGCAAAAUUUUGCCCCAAAAUGCUCGAUCUCCAUCUCGCUGUCCCACACCACCGAGCACACUGCUCCCUCCCCAAUCGAGCUCACCUCCAGCCGUCAUCCUCCCUCUUCGGUCGAGCACGCCACCGACCGAGUGGAAGCCCUCCCCGAUCCAUGUCCUCCCUCCAUGCCACCGCACCGAUCGAAUCGCCAGUCUCUCUCUCACUCUCUCAUGCUACCGCCAUCGACCGUCGUCCUCCCUCCUCAGUCGAGCUUGCCAUCGGCCAUCAUCCUUCCUCUCCGAUCGAGCGCGCCAUCGAUCGAGUUGAAGCCCUCUCUGAUCGGCAUCCUCCCUCCAUGCCACCGCACCAGCCGAAUCGUCUGUCUUUCUCUCACUCUCUCAUGCCGCAGCCAUCGAUCGUCAUCCUCCCUCCCCAGUCGAGCUCGCCGCCGGCCGUCAUCCUCCCUCUCCAAUCGAGCGUGCCAUCGAUCGGAUUGAAGCCCUCCACACCACUGUGUCACCCAAAUCAAGGCCACCAUCGUCGUCCUCCAUCCAUGCCAUCGCGCCAAUCGAAUCAAGGCCACCGUCGUUGUCCUCCCUCUGCCACCGCCGUCGUCUUCCUCCCCGAUUUCUCCCCCUCCCUCCCUCACUUUCUCUCUCUCUCCCCCUCUCUCCCUCUCUUAUGGUUGUUACUUCUCCUAGGGCCGUCGUCGUCGCUCCACCUCCGUCACCGUCACCUCCCCACAGUCACCAUCACCGCCGUCACUGUCCAUCAGGUUGCGAUCUCUCAAGUAUAUACGGCUCUUUGGCUCUCUCUAGCUGUGUCUCUCUAUAGCUCUCUCUCUCUCACACAGUCCACCUGUAGGUCAUCGCACCGCCAUCGCCACGCCACUGUCGCUGUCGCCGUCGCUGCACAGCCGUCGACGUCCGCUUAUCUUGAUACCCAUCUCUCUCUGUGGGAUUUAUAGGAGAGUUGGAAGAUCAUGCCAUAAUUUUUAUUUUUUAAUUUUUAUAAUUUUUUAAAUUUUUAUUCUUCUUUUUUAAUUGAUUUUAGUCGUUAGGUAUGAUUAUUUGUUGCUCUACUCUGAAGCAUAGUUCAUGAUCUGAAAAUAAUUUAAAAAUAAAAAUAGUUAUAAUAAUAAUAUAUUAUUGUAGCAUAACAAAUCUAUAAAUUUAAAAAUUUUUGUUCGAGAAUAGCAUGCAUGAACCAAUAUUUAUCCUUUAAUAAAAAAAAUAUUGAUGUUGUACACACUAUCCUCGAAUUAUCCUUGUGGACAAUUUGAGCACGUGAGUGAAUUUUAUAUUGCAUACCAUGUGCUUCUACAUUGAAGAGUUUUAUCGAUAUUUUCGAUCAUGUUCUCUGGAUAUAUAGCAUAAUUUUAGUAUUUGUGUAUCUGGGCAACUGCGCCGAAAUACUGCUGAAAUUUUUUUGAUAUAGAAAAUAUAUAUUGCAAUAUUAAAAUCUUACGUUCUUGAAUGGGAUAGGACCAUCACCCUAUAGGUAGAGGAUAUAAGGCGUUAGUCAACUAUUAUUACAUAAGAUUGAUUGUAUAGUUUGCAUCAUAAAUGUGUAGGCAUGGAUCGUGGUUGGAUGUCAUUGCGCAAUACGUUCUGUCCUGAGUAUAUUGUGGGUGUGAUAUCUUUCGUGAAUGUGGCAUCCAAUUACACUAGAGAAGAUGAAAAAGCUCAUUGUCCAUGUCGUCAAUAUAUGAAUUUAUUUUGGUGUAUCCUAUCGGACAUUCAAAAUUAUUUAUACGAAUAUAGUAUAGAUGUGACUUACAAGAGAUGGACUUGUCAUGGUGAAGAUUUGCCGACUAGCUCGAGCAUGUUGCCCAAGAGUCCCACAAAUGCAUCGUCAGUAGGUGGAUCAUCCAGUCGUGAAAGGCAAACACUUGGUACAAAAGAUAAAAAAAUUUUGGAGGAUCUCCAUCUGGAGUUAUUUGAAGCAAAUGUGGAAGCGGGAUCAGAACAUCAGCAUCCUAUUCUGAGACAAAAAGCUUAGGAGGACAGUAACAUGCCUGUGAAUGAUAGAUUCGAGUGUCUAUUAAGAGAUACGCGAAGUGACGUUUAUCCUAAUUGUAACAAGUACUCUUUGUUGUCCAUCGUGAUAAAGUUAUUACAUAUGAAGACACUGGGUAAGUGGUCAAACAACUCAUUUAAUUGGUUGCUCAAAUUUUUGAAGGACCUACUGCCUGAGGGAGAGUUACUUCUAUCAAGUUAUUACGAAGCCAAAAAAUUAAUAAAAGGACUCGAGUUGGGAGUCGAUGACUUGGGCCUACACUGGAAAAGAUAUGUGCAUGUCCGAAUGAUUGUAUUCUGUUUUGAAAGGAUAAAAAAAAUCUACAAGCAUGUCCGAUUUGUCAUUCAAGUAGAUGGAAAGAAAGUUGUAGUAAAGAUAAAAAGAAAAAAAAUAUUGUGCAAGGUUUUGCGAUACUUUUUGAUUACGCCACGAUUGCGUCGAUUGUUCAUGUCAAUGUAUACUGCUUGUGACAUGCGAUGCUAUAAGGAGGAAAACAACAUCGACGAUGAUGUCAUGAGGCAUCCAUCAGAUGAAGAUGCAUGAAAAUAUUUCGAUCGUAAACAUCUAUGGUUUCUAGCUGAUUCACGAAAUGUCAGGCUAGGGUUGGCAACAGACGGAUUUAAUCCAUAUGAUAAUAUUAGUACUACAUACAGUAUGUAGCCUGUUAUGGUAUUUUCUUAUAAUUUAUCGUCUUGAAAAUGCAUGAAAUCACCUUGUAAUCUGCUGGCUUUGUUGAUCCCGAGUCUCCUUGCCCAUGGAAGAGACAUAAACAUAUUUUUAGAGCCAUUGAUUGAAGAGUUGCAAUACUUGUGGGAGGAAGGGUGCGAAACGUAUGAUCAUGUUGCAGGAGGUAUAUUUCGCAUACAUGCGACACUACUUUGAACAGUUAACAAUUUUUCUGCAUAUGACGAUAUUUUUGGAUGGUGUACAAAAGGGUGUAAAGCAUGCUCAACUUGUAACGAUGAUAUUACAUCAGACCGUAUUCGUGGAAAGAUUUGUUUCACUUGCCAUCGAUGUUUCUUGUCGGAUGAUCAUAGAUGGAGGAGAAGUCCUAAGUUCAACGACAAGCAUGAACGACGUGCCCAGCCAACAUUCUAAUCUAUGGAUAAUAUUUUAAAUCAAUUGCCCGACCCACGGGAUGUCAUAUUUGUUAAGGAUCUGGCCAACCAAGUAGGCGUGCGAACAAGUAUCGAAAAUUGAAGAAAAAAGAGUAAGUUGUUCGAUCUUUCAUAUUGAAAAAUACUUCUUCUUCGACACAAUCUUGAUGUCAUGCAUAUUGAAAAGAACAUAUUUGAUAAUGUGUUUUAUACCAUCCUCAAUAUCGAAUGAAGAAUGAAGGACACCAUGAAGGCUCGUCUUGACUUGGAGGAUAUGCGGAUUAGAAAAGAAUUACAUUUGAUUCAACGGGAGGACAGAUUGGUGAAGCCAUUGGCAUGUUAUGUACUGAACCAAAGAGAGAAAAAUCAAUUUCUCACAUAUUUGAGAUCAGUAAGGUUUCUCGAUGGAUACGCCUCAAACUUGAAAUGAUGCAUCAAGCUGAAAGAUGGGAAGAUCAUCGGGAUGAAAAGUCAUGAUUGCCAUGUGCUUCUACAACAUGUGCUCCCAGUUGGUUUGCGUGGAUUAUUGCCAGAUAAUGUGUGCGAUGUAUUACUUGAUCUGGAAACUUAUUUUCGGGACUUAUAUGCGAAGAUGUUGAGGCAAGGUCGGAUCAACAUAUUAGAGAAGAAGAUUAUCAUUACUCUCUGUAAGCUUGAGAUGAUAUUCCCUCCUUUGAUAUUCCCUCCUUUGAUAUCAUAAUGCAUCUUUCAGUUCAUCUUCCAUAUGAGGCUAGACUGGGUAGGCCAAUAUAUACAAGAUGGAUGUACCUAAUUGAAAGAUAAUUGUAUGAUAUUAUAAUAUUUAUUAUUUAUUAUUGUAUUCUUUAUUAUAUAUGUAUAUCAAUUGAUAAUUUAUUGGAUAGGAAGAUGCGAGAAUAUAAGAGUGCCAUUGCUAACAAAGCAUGGUCCGAAGGUUCAAUAGCGGAGGCACACGAUAUGAAUGAAUGUCUGACAUUCUGCUCUAUGUACCUUCAAAGAGUGGAGACCAAAUUUAUGAGGCCACAAUGGAAUGUCGAUGUUGACGAUAUUCUGACUGAUGGAUUGUCCGUGUUCUCCAAUAUUGUCGACCAUAUGGUAAGAAAGAUUUUUGAAUGUUGACACCACAUAAAAUGGACGGCAUGCAUUGGUAUGUGCUAAACAAUUACGAGGAGAUGGAAGCGUACAUGAUGUGAGUAUAUAUAUUUAAUUUUUUUUGUUGAUAUAUGCAUGAAUGUAUGUACUCGUAGAUCCUAAAUUAAAAUAUACAUGUUAUUACUGUAUCACUUCAGUGAGCAUGAAAGUGAGCUCAGAAGAAUCAAUCCUACAUUAACAGUGGCACAACAUAGGAAUCAAUUCGCAUCAUGGUUUGACGAACGGAUAAGUUAAGUUAAUAUUCAUCAUGAUUUAAAGGUUUGUUUAUAUAGUAUUUAUUUUGAUAAACUUAAUCUACUUAUUGUUCUUUUAAUUGUAGAUAGUUCAGCUACGUAUAGACAAUCCUAACUGUAUCAGUUAUGACUUAGCCGCACUUGCACGAAAACCUGACAGACGUGUAUCAAUAUAUUCAGCAUGUAUAGUCAAUGGUGUGUGGUUCUUAACGAAAAAUUACAAUCACGAUCAAACCAUACAGAAUUGUAGAAUAAGCAUGGAGGGCGAGUACAAGGAUGAAAUAAUAUAUUUUUUUGGUGUUCUGCAUGAGGUUAUAGAGCUGAGAUAUAGUGAUUUUUGGUGGGUCAUGUUAUUCAAGUAUCGAUGGUAUGAUUUAGGAUGACACAGGCCAAUUAUUAUAGAUCCUCAACUUGUCAGUGUUCAUAUUGAUCACGUGUAGUACGAAAGUGAUCCUUCUAUUUUUGUAAAGCAAGCGAGACUAGUGUGGCAUAUUGAUGAUACCAAAAUGAAAGAGCCUUGGUAAGUUGCAAUAAGAGCUCAGCAUAGAUAUUUGUUCGAUCUUGUAGUUUUUACAUGCCCGAAUGAUGAAGAUCUAGAGAAUGGAGUCCAUGCAACUAUUGAAAAUAAAGCAUAUCAAAUGCAAGCACCAGAUAAUAUAUUAGUGCCAGAUGACAUGGUUGAGAUAGGACAAUUGCAAAGAGACGACUGCGAAUAUAAGGAUGUUCCUAUUGUUGGAACGUCGGUAAGGGCACAGGCACGGGCACGAUCCAACAAUAAUUUGGAGUCACAAUCACAUAUGAAUGAUGACUUCAUCAACGACGAUGAUGAUAGCACUUCAGAGUCGAUGCCUUCUAUAAGUCCUACUGAGGACGACUAUAUGGAUACAAGUUCAGAUUCUGAGAAUAAUAAUUAAUAUGAAUAAGUAAUUCAAUAUAUUUUUUAUUACAUCAUGUAAUACUUGAGUUUUUUUGAUUACGUACUGAUUUGAAUUAUUUUAACCAUUGCAGCAUGAUGGCUGGUCCUGGAGUGGACGUUCGUGGGGUAGACAGUAGGUCCCAGUUGAUAAUAUACAUCCUCACUUUAGUAUUUUGCAUGAUGAGUCAGAAGAUUUAGAUGAGACUCAGCUGUCCGAAUCUAUAGAGCAGACUAGUGCUCAGCCAGUCUACCCAGUCGGAGGUUAUGGCAUCGCAGCAUCAUCCCCCUGUAGGUAUAUCUCUAUCAAUUUAUAAACUAUGUAUAUAUUUUUGUUAUAUACAUCCAUUGGUAGAUGAUAUAUGUUCAUUUCAUGAAUUUUUAUAUACAGAAACAUAGCAGUGACACACAGUGCGUAGUCCUAGUAGGGGCCUCAUUUUGGAGAAAUACGUACAUACGCACAAUGAAAAGCCAAAAGUACAUAUAUUUUGGGAUCAUUCGAUUGGCAAAGAGGCUAGUAUAGUCACAAAUGAGAUUAGUCUGUAUAUACAGAAUCAUUUUUCAUGGACCGUCGAAAGUUUCAAGCAUGUAGCCCCUCGAUACUGCAAUGCCCUAGUCUCUCACAUCAAGGUAAGAAUUAACUUCGAAUAUCUUGCACAUCAUUACAUGAUCCAUAUUAUUUUUUGUUAUAUGGAUAAUUCUUUAUUACAUGAAUAAUUCUAUAUCUUUGCUUUUUGUUAUGAUGAAUGUUCAUAUGUGUAAGAUAAUAUUGACUUCGAGGAUUGCACCGACGAACAAGUGACGGCAUGUAUUCUCAAAAUGGCUACAAAUAGAUACAGAGAUCGACGAUGUAGGCUUCAUAAAUACUGUAAUGAGUUGCAGGUGAAGGAGAUUGACUUUGUGACCCAGCCUUAUAGAAAUUGGGCUGGGUUUAGUGACGAUUGGCGGUGGUUAUGCGAGCAUUUUGAGAAUGAGACAUUUCAGGUAUGUUUAGUGUUUCAAGUUAUUUUGAUAUUGUUAUGUCCUUUAUUGGUUAUAAUUGUAUGUAUUUUUUAGCAACGAUCGGAGAUGAAUAAGAUGAAUAGGAGCAAGAUUGAUUCUAUUCACACGCAAGAAAGUGCCUCUUUUGCACAGAAAUGAAAAGGAUGGUACAUAACUAUACUUACAAUUACACUCUGUAAGUUCUUAUUGAAUAUUUAAGUUACUUUGAUGUCCUUUUUCUUCUUUUCUUUUGUUUGAAUAGGGACUAUCCAGUGUCGACGCCUAUGAUAAAUUCUAUCAAAAUAAGAGUGACAAGUUUGUGACCAAGGAGGUGAGGCAGCGUCAUGUAAGUAUGGUACUAUAUUUUGAAUUUAUUUUAAAGGCUUUAAAAUAAAUUUAUGGUGUUAUUUGAUCUAUUGUGAAGAAAAAAUGUUACAAUUGAGAGAACAGAUGAUGAAGGAGGUUGGAUCUGACAGCGAUGCUGGAUCGCAGUCAAUUUGUUCGAUGACAGAUGAUGCGAUCCUGGAUGCCGUCUUCGGGCGGCAGCUAGGAUCUGAGCAUAGCAUGUGAUCAAAAAAAUCUCAUAGUUUGUCGUCCGGCUGGUCUGAUGAUGCCUCAAUGCCAGAGGCAGUUAGGACAUCGAUGAGCAUGAUGCAGGAUCAAAUUACUUACCGGAUGAAUCAUAGUCAGAUGCUCGAGAAGAUAGUGAUUGCGAUGGUGGGACAACUCGGUAUCGAUGCUUCCGAGUUACCACCUCUACAGCCGCUGAUGCUGUCUCUGCACAGCCAUCGCGACACACAUCGGGUCAGGGAUCGAUGCCCGAAGAAGAGAACGAGGCCAAUAACUCUGAUAAUACAUAGUUUGUAAUUUUUUUAAAUUUUAAAUGAUGUAUGAAUCAUACUUUUGUAUAUGAUAAUGAUGCUACGAAACUUAUUGCUAUUUGCAAUUUGAAUGUUUUUAUUGUGUUCAUAUAUUUUUAUGUAAAAUAUGUUUGAUCUGAUGAAAAUUUACAUUUAAAUAGGUACUUUUAUGAUAAAAAAAUAAAAAAUAUUUUAUUUAUCUAUAAUUUAAUUUAAUGAUGAAAUAUUAAUUUAUCAUAAUAAAUAAUUAAAAAUUUUNNNNNNNNNNNNNNNNNNNNNNNNNNNNNNNNNNNNNNNNNNNNNNNNNNNNNNNNNNNNNNNNNNNNNNNNNNNNNNNNNNNNNNNNNNNNNNNNNNNNNNNNNNNNNNNNNNNNNNNNNNNNNNNNNNNNNNNNNNNNNNNNNNNNNNNNNNNNNNNNNNNNNNNNNNNNNNNNNNNNNNNNNNNNNNNNNNNNNNNNNNNNNNNNNNNAUUGCUAUUUGCAAUUUGAAUGUUUUUAUUGUGUUCAUAUAUUUUUAUGUAAAAUAUGUUUGAUCUGAUGAAAAUUUACAUUUAAAUAGGUACUUUUAUGAUAAAAAAAUAAAAAAAUAUUUUAUUUAUCUAUAAUUUAAUUUAAUGAUGAAAUAUUAAUUUUAUCAUAAUAAAUAAUUAAAAAAUUUUGACGAUCCUAAAAUAUUCAAAUUUUCACUAUAUAUUAUGAUGAAAUUUUUUAUUUCAUCACUAAAAUUACGAUGAAAGAAUUUUCUUCGUUAAAAAUAAUUUUUUCUAUCAUAAAUUUUAUUUUUUUUCUUUAUUCCUUUUUUAGUUAUGAAAUUUUUUUUUCAUCAUAAAAAUUAUGAUGAAAUUUUUUUUCAUCACAAAAAUUAUGAUAAUUUUUUUUUCAUCAUAAAAAUUAUGAAAUUUUUUUUUAUUUCAUCAUAAAUUUAGCGACGAAAUUUAACAUUUCAUCGCUAAAUUAGCGAUGAAAUUUUUUUUCAUCAUUAAUUUUUGUGACAAAAUACUAUUUUUCAUCGUUAAAAUUAAAAUAAUAAUAAUAAAAACUUCAAAUGAGUAAUAUUUAUUUUUUACGAUCAAAAUAUUUUUUAUCAUAAUUUUAACGAUGAAAGUUUAAGCUCUUGCGAUAAAAAUAUUUCAUCGCUAAUUCUACGAACUUUUUCAUCGUCCGAUUGACUACUUUUGACGAUGAAAUAAAAUUUUUUCAUCGCUAAGAUCUUUUACUAUGAGGCUUUCUCUACAAACUUUUAGAGACAAAAAUUUUUAUCGCUAAUAGUUUUAGCAACGAAAAUUUUAUCUUUAGCGGCAAAAAAAUUUCAUCACAAAAAAUCAGAUUUUUUGUAGUGGUAGGACAUACUGAGUUGAUACUCUGUCAAAGUCUACAUUCAACUAUCCUAUUGACCACUUCCCACUGACUUAGGCAUCGAAGGAUCCCCACCGGAUACUGCUCUGAUCAGUGUGGACUUGUUUUGUAGGUUGCUCACCAUCUGACUCAAGCAUACUCGGAGAUUGGCUGCAAUAGAUUGACGCAUCAGGUAUGGAUUGAAAGAUCUAAUUACAAUAGUAAAAAUGAGAGCCCAGAAUGCUUCUAUCGGCUCCGCCCGACAAUCUUCCCAUCGAAAAGAUCUUCCACCUCCACCUCCAUUGGCAAAGCCCUGUUCUUCAUAUCCGAUUGUCACUACGGAUGUCCAACAACUCGCUGCUUUAAUGCAGCAGAUGAAAAUAUUGAUGGAGGCAGUGCAUAACCUCCAGCAAUAGCAAAUAUAGUAACUGCAGCAGUAACCGAUGGCAGAGGAGCCGGCAUCGCGUACAGUGCUAUCUGAGUACAGUCACUGCAUCCCACGAUAGUCUCCUUCUCUAUCUCUGAAAUGACGAUCGGCUCGACACUCUCAUCAUAUCGAGCCAUCACCUUCUCGGCACUCCUACCAUGCCUCUCAUCAUCAGCAACAAUCUCCUUCUCCUUCUCGCAGCCACAGUAUCAAGAAGGGGAAGAGGCCGUGCUCACCUUCAACUUCUCCCUCCUCAAGUUCUUCAAAAGUGGAGCCGGUUUUAUCCUCACCAACUCUGAAGGGACAGUGACUAAAUAUGCCCUUCGAUUCAACUUCAAAGCUUCGAAUAACCAAGUCAAAUGUGAAGUCUUGCUAGCCAACUUGAAGAUGGCAAAGAAACUUGGUGUGGACAACUUGAAGGUCUUCACCGACUUUCAACUGAUCAUUGGUCAGGUUAAAGGUGAAUUUGAGGCUCAAGAUCCGACCAUGAUGAAGUACCUUCAAAAGAUGAGAGAUCUUGUUAUCUCGUUCAAACCUUCAAAUAUUUCGAGAUCUCUCACAUUUCAAGAACAGAAAAUGCACAUGCUGACACACUAUCUCGAUUGAUAACUACUCCUAAUCUACUCGACUGAACGUUCAUCGAAUAUCUCGAACAAUCGAGCAUUGACAAGGUCGAUGAAGUGCAAUAAAUAGUGAUUACCAAACCGGAUGGACCCAAUCAUCCUCUAUUUGACCAACAAGAUUCUAUCCAAGGAUUCAUUAGAAGCCAAACGAUGGUGGACGGCUUCACAGUAUAUUCUGAUGAAUGGAUAACUAUACAAAAGAUCAUUCUUUUUUUUACUGCUAAAGUGCUUGAGACCUACCGAAGCUAAUUAUGCUCUCCAAAAAGUCUAUAAGAAAUUUGUAGAAAACACUGGGGGGUAAAUUGCUAGCCUACAAGAGUCUAUGAUAGGGAUACUACUGGCCCACCAUGAGAAAAGAUGCAGUCGAAUUUAUUUCGAGAUGCGAAGUAUGUCAAAAGUAUGCCAACAUACAGUAUCAAUCGACCAGCUAGUUGACAUCAAUCAUUACUCUAUGGCCAUUCACACAAUGAAGAAUCGACAUACUCAGUUCCUUCCCUCCGACGAUUGGUCAGAGAAAGUUCUUAGUCAUUACAGUGGACUAUUUCACUAAGUGGAUGAAAACUGAACCCUUGGCACAAAUUAUCGAAGGAAAGAUGGAAGACUUCAUUCAGAAGUCCAUCAUAUAUCAGUUUGAAUUAUCACGCAUCAUCAUCACCGAUAAUGAUCGAUAAUUUGACAAUCAAAAAUUCAAAAAAGUUAUGUGCAAAACUUCAUAUCAUGUACAAACUCAUCUCUGUCAACUAUCCAUAAUCAAACGGUGAAGUAAAAAUGACAAAUCGAAUAAUUUUAUAUGGUCUCAAGAUCCGACUGAAUAAAGCCAAAGGUCUAUAGAUAGAAGAGCUAUAUCCGAUCUUAUGGGCUUAUCGGAUGACUCCUCGCAUCCCGACAGGAGAGUUAUCAUUCAAUCUGACAUAUGGAAUAGAAGCGACGAUCCCAUUAGAGAUCGGACUACCAUCAAUAAAGGUCAAACAAUAUGCAGAGCCAAGUAAUUCCAACUGUCGAAGGAUCGAAUUGGACUUACUAUCAGAGGUUCGACAGCAAGCUCAUAUAAGAAUGGCUGUAUACUUACAAAGGAUGGCCCGAUAUUAUAAUGCAAGGAUCAAGCCAAAGGUCUUCCAUCCCGGAGACUUGGUCUUAAGAAAGACAGAAGUUUUAAAACUCUUGGAUCAAGAAAAAUUAUCUUCAAACUGGGAAAGACCUUAUAGGGUGAUCAAAACCCUUCGCUCGGGUUCAUAUCGACUAGAGACCCACGACAAAAUGACUGUCCUUCGGAUAUGAAAUGUCAAUAAUCUUUGAAUGUACUAUCAAUGAAGCUGUCUGCAUGUAAUAGUAUAUUCAAAAUGACAUGAUCAACUUUCUACUUUCAAUCGAAUAUUCGAGUAUCUAUAAAUGUGGUGUCUGACUGAUGACCAAUCGACCAAUAUACUUAUCGACCUAAUUUUGAUCGAAUGACUCUACAUAUUGACACCAAACAGAUGACUGCAUAUGCCAACUCAACUAUGGUUGAGAGGAAUGAUACAUCGACUCAACUACGAUUGAGUGGAAUAGUUUGCUGACUCAACUAUGGUUGAGCGGAAUAAUAAGCUGACUCGACUCCGAUCGAGCGAAAGAUAUACCGACUCGACUCUGAUUGGUCGAAAGAUAUUUGGCUAGCCCUCAUAUAUCAAAUACUUAAAAAAAUUUAUGCUUAAAAUUUAGUCAACUGGUAUCUGACUAACAGAAAAAUUCUAUGACUUCGACUAUCGAUUGUUAUUCAUCUACCAAUUGAUAGUCGAUUACAUAUAGCAACAAUUAUCUACGAUAAAUGACAUAUCCAAAAAGAUUCAACACUUGUGAAAAAGGUUCUUUCAUUUAUCAAUAGAGGAUUACAAAAAUUGGACUAAGGUCUGGUUACAAAAAUAAAAGUCAGAAUAAAGUUCGGUACAAAAAAAAAGGUGAAGACCUAUCUACACCGACUGCUGCUUGGUCUCCUCAGCUGCUGCUUCGAUCUCUUGGACCACGACUGAUGUCGGAUCUAUUUCGAUCGAUGCAGGUUCAACUUCUUUCGUCAGAGUAGUCACUUCAUCGGUCGGCUCUACUUUUGUCGCUCUCUCUUUAGGGGUCAGGACAGUGAUGCUGCUCAAAUCCAAAUCUAGAUAAAGUUUUCUAACUGAGAGCUUUUUGGGCAGUCUUUGCCUCUUCUUUGACGGAAACUGACUCUGCAUUGGCUAGUGCCAACCAUGCUUCUAUGGCUCGAUGCCUCUCCCGUUCACCCUUCAGUUCCUUGAGGCAAUUGUCACAUUCCCUCUGGAGUUGACUAAUCACGUGCUUCUUGCUCUAGAUCCGGGCCUCUUGAGACUUGGCAGAUUGCUGAGCCGACCCUAAUUCGACUCGAGCCAACUCUAACUUAGCUUUCAUGCAGGAAAUCUCUUCCUGAUACUUUCUUUUCUGCUUAGUUGCCGCUUGAAGGUGCUCUACAGUGGUGACUUUGCCGGCGUUUGCAGCUGUGACUUUCUGACGGAGAUCUGCGAUCCCCUGAUAUCCUCUGUCCAAUGCCGACAUGUCGUGCGCCAGCUGAAAGGAAGAGAGAAUGGUUAGAAAAAGUAGGUAGAAGAGGCACAAAUGGAAAAUAGAUUACCAACUUAUGCUGAGGAUUGUCAGAUAAAAUGAUGAGAAUAUGUCGGCUACGGUUCAACUCUUCCUAUUCUCCCGAUCAGUCGAGAGAAGCGCAGCCUCCACAAGCUACUUUACCAAUUUCGGGAUUAACAGAGCUGACUCACUUGACGGCACCCGAAUAUCACAGUACUCCAUCCAGUCUUCCAGAGCCUCACUACUAGUUGAAGCUUCUGGUGCCUUCCCUCGCUCCCGAGCAGACGAUUGAUCAAUUAGAGCUGCCAUCCAUUUGGAUGUAGGAGGCGCCCGAGAUACUAUCGGCCCAACGUUGACCGACUCUGGCCCGAGCGUAGGAGGUGCUCGAGAUACUAUCGGCCCCUCACUGGCCGGCUCUGGAUCGACGACCACAAUGGCAUCAUGAUCGCUUGGUUGCCUAAUCGACGGAAGAACUCCGACUGGUGGUAGGGCCAUUAGAGCUGAUAGUGCAGUGACUACUUCUAUAUGGGCCUCAGAAGCAACUACCAAUGGUGCUUCGAUACGAGCCACAGAGACUACUACCGAUGGUAUGUCAGGCUGACUCUUCUUUGGAGCUUUAGAUGGCCCUACACCAGUAGUGGGCCUCUUCUUGAUGAUGGCAAACUGUCAGAUCUCAUCUGCCGAAGGUCAUGCUGAAGGUCGUAUAGCUGCAAUCAGAUAAAAAAAACUACACUAUGCUAUACUUACAGCAAGCGCCUAACUAAGUCCAACAUCGUAUAAAGCCCGCUCCAUCAACAGCUCCUAUUGCAGAGGGACUUCCAUGUCUUUCAAAUAUAGAAAGUCUUCUCGAUCAACAACAUCGACUUGGCUGUGAUCAUUCUGGCUCAUUCUUGGUGCACCCCAAGAAGUCCAAAAACCCCAAGGCAAAGAAGAAGAGAUAAAAAAAAAAUUAAUUCUUCUAUCCAUGGAUGGAAGAAAGAAGAUCGGAGAUAAAAGACAGAUCCUUCCUCAGAUUGAUGAACCACCAACCCUUGGCCUUAGGGUGAGUGUGAAGAACGAUGAAAAUAUGAAAGAGAAAGGGCUUGGGAUUGAUCGGAAUCAUGUGGCACAAUAAAGCAAAGCUGAUAAUGAGUCGAAUAAAGUUUAGAGCCAGUUAGGCAGGACAGAUCUUAUAAUAAUCAAGAAGAUUCUGAACAAACUCCAGAAUUGGAAAGUGAAGACCGGUUCGAAGGUCCUCGACAUAAAUCGCUACCUGAUCUAGAAAAGGAGAAUUCAUCCGACUAUCUGGACCUAAUGUAAAAAGCUGAAAUUGCUCUCGGAUGCGAUAUUGCUUCUAGAGCCAAAGAACAUUAGAUUUGGACAAGAAAGAAGCUUCCACGUCCGAAUCUGAAGGGGAAUCAUCAACCGAUUUACCCGAUCAAUUAUCCCGAGAGGGUUCCAACAAAGAAGAAAAAUUCAACAAACAAGAAGGAACUCGAUAAAGGAGGAGGUAACGGCAAAGAAACAAUGAAGGAAAGAAAAGAGGAAGGCCAACCUGAAGCAAAAGCUUGAUGAUGCGAAAAAGAAGAAGAAGAUAACCCUAAGCCCCUGGAACUCUCGACACCCAUAGGAGAACUCUUAGUGGCAGAAGGAUUGUAAGCAAAUUGCAAUAGGAGAUCCAAAUGGAGAAAAAUGACCUUAUAUAUAUAAGAUCCAUCGACAGUCGAGAUGAGUUUGUUUAAAUCCAGACUUUCUCAGAUCAUGACACAUGGCAACAUCCGAACCAAUCAUUGUUCGGACCUUUCGAUGCACUUACUGUCUGAUCGAAACACAUCAAUACUAUUCACAUAGGGCGUCAAGAGCCAAUCAUUAUUGAAUGCAUGGCGACAAUCGAUUGGUUAAAUUCAAAUCAAUCGAAUUAUCCGACCGCCUAGCCGACUAUAACAUUAAGAACUAUCUCUUUGACUAGACAUGCUAAUGAUGAUCGCAGAACCAUCGAAACAACAAAAUGACUGGAGAUCUUUCAAUUUUUGAGAGAACCAUUACUGCCUGCAGUUGAAAAGACUGCAGAAUCGGGACUCGAUAUGAUACGUGAUAACUCCCAUCAUCCGAUGUGUCAAGCCAUGUUAGACUUGGGAGUGGAGGGCAACUGUUGGGGCAAUCGAAUCUACUCCCUCGAUUCAUAGUCGGUCUAUCAAUUAUGUGUCAGCAACUGAUGAUGGACCGUCAAAGCUGGACUGUCGAAGGAGUUUCAGUUCAACCACACAUCUACAAGUCUCAUCAUUCGAUGUUUUAUUGGUGCCAUGGACACAGAUUGCUGACUAUCAGUUGGUUCACCAACUAACUAUCGGUAACCCCCAAUCGACUUCCUUGGCUGCUACAAAACAAUCAUAGUGAUUCCAUCGACCACAUAAUCGAUAGUCAAUCAGUAUAUCAGAGUCAACAACCGAUGGUCAGUCGGCAUAUCAAAAGCACCGACAUAUAGUCUAGAUUAUCGAUACUCAGUCAGUAUAUCAGAACUGACAAUUAUGAUACCACAAUCGUAGGAAAUUACUCCACACCAUGACUGUUAGUGGACAUAAACUACCCACUAAAUCCAUGAUAACGGCCCGAUAAUAGGGGUUAACUACUCUUUCAUACCAUAAUAAGUGGGACUCCAUAUGUUCGACAGUUACACCCAAAUUACCUAUAUAAGGGGAAAGUAAGAGAACAGCAAGGAUAAGACAUACUGGGCUGAUACUUUAUCAAAGUCUACUUUCAACUAUCUUGUUGACCACUCCCUACUGACUUAGGCAUCGGAGGAUCUCCGUCGGAUACUGUUCCGAUCAGUGUGGACUUGUUUUGUAAGUCACUUGUCAUCGGACUUAAGCAUACUCGGGGAUUGGCCACAAUAGAUUUCACUAAUUUUAGUCGAUUUUUGCAUCCUGAUGGAAGAUUAAUUAUUAGAUUUUGAAGGAAACUUAUAAAACAACUGGCCACUUACUACUUUUAUAUACUAGGGUUGAGAUUAUACAAUGUAUGUGAAUAGUAGAUUGGAUGGUUAUGGCAUCCCUAUGACAUAAGAUUUUCAUAGUCGAUUGUUGAUUUAUUAGCAAUUUUAGGGAUGCGGCAUCUCCUGUUUGACUCAUGAAAAGGGCAAUGUUGGAAGAGAGCUCAAGUAACUAGCCAACCGAGAUAUAUGUUCAUAAGAACUCAUUCAAUAAAGACACAUGCAUAUAAGAGGUGAGCAAAGAUACUAUAAACUUGUUUGGUUGACGGAAAGUGGAGGGAGGAAGAGGCACUUCUUAAAAAGUAGAGAGAGGACCUCUUAUUUGAUUGAAAUUUUAAGAAGAGAGGGAGUGAAAAAAGUUCUUCCCAUAGGAAGUCAUUUUUCACAUUUCAUGUGAAGUGACAACCCAUGGGAGAGAUGGGUUUUGGCACUUCUAAUGGGAUUGGAAGUGAUGCUACUUUUUUUCUCAAAAUAUCCCUUUAGAUUCAUGACUAAGAUUUUACAAAAUAUCAAUGAAUGGUUAGGAUAAAAUAUUGAAUAGUGAUAUAAUAUUANNNNNNNNNNNNNNNNNNNNUUUUAAUAUUAUAUUAAUAUAUAUUAAUAUUAUAUUAACAUAAUAAAUUAUUAUAGUUUAAUAUUAUAUUAUAAUAUAUUUAUAUUAUAUUUAUAUUAAUAUAAAUAUAAUAUUUAUAUUUAUAUAAAGUUUAUAAGCAAAAAAAAGAUAUGAUCUUAUAUCUAUGAAAGAUAUAAUAAAUAUUUUACACAGUUUUUUCAGAAAAAUAGGCACUCAACCAAACAUAAGCUACUCUGUAAUAAGUUAUUUUUCCAUGAUCAAUCAAAUAUAUCAAAAUCCUAUUCUCAAAAAAUAAUUUUUCAAAAAGUAGCUUUCUGAGAAGUUAUUUCUUGAGAAGAAAAAUUUUUCCUGCGAACCAAACAAGUCCUACAAUUUUUUCAAAAAAUAAAGGAGAUAAGCAUAGGAAUGAUAAUUUUAGCCGAUCCCUCCGGAUAUCCAACCCAACCCAACUUCAAUAGAUUGAGUUUUAUCUGAUCCAAUUAGAAUCAGGAUGGAUAUAGGUUGUAGAAAAAAUUUUUGAAGCGGAUUCGGAUCAGAUACAAAUAAUGGUAUACUUCGCACCAAAUCUAAACCAAUAUAAUCUUAAUCUAUAUCUUUCUUUCAAAAUUAUAAUUAUCUUAUAAUAUUUAUGUAUACUCGAUCCAAUUCAAUCCAAUCCACAUCUCUACUUGACUCGAUCCGAUUCGAGAUAGAUAUGGGACAAAUAUGAAUAUGAGAUUUUUAAUUACAAGACAAGUAUGGAUUUUGAUCGAUCCCACCACUAACACGUUGCCAUCACCUGAUAAGAAUAAGAUUUUACAAAUAUGGUAAUAAUCCAUCCUAAAAUACCAUAAAUUUGAAAUGAUUAAACCCAGCCAAAUAUGCAACUUCAUCAAUCCGUUUUGAAAUUUUUUCUGUAAAAAAAAUACUAUUCAUAAACUCCUAAUCUUCUAUCUGUUAACAAACACAUACACUAAUUUUACAAAAUUUAUCUACGUAGCCAUCGCUUCCUAACGCACAUUUAAUAUUUAUAAUUUUAUUUUUUUAUUUAAAAAUUUUGAAUGACAAAAUACUUCUAUUCUUUAAAAAAAUUAUGAUAUCUUAUAUCCAUAUUAUAACAUCUUGCGUACAGAAAGUCAUAAUUUUGACGCAGGAUGUCAUAAUAUGUCAUAGAAUAUUAUAAUUUUUUUUAAAGAAUACAGAUAAUUCGUCAUUUAAAAUUUUUAAAUAAAAAAAUAGAACUGCAUGUACUAAAUGCACGUUGGAAAGUGGUUGGACAAAAAUGUCUCUUCUAUAUUAUGACAUCUUGGUUCAUAUUAUGAUAUCUUGGAUCAUAUUAUGACAUCUUAUAUAUAUAAAAUUAUAAUUUGACGUAGGAUGUGAUAAUGUGUCACAGGAUGUCAUAAUUUUCUGAAUUAUAUUAUGACAUUCUGUAUGUAGGAAGUCAUAAUAUGUCACGGGAUGUUAUAAUUUUUUAAAAAUAUAAAUAUUUUAUCAUACNNNNNNNNNNNNNNNNNNNNAAUAUUAAAUAUAUAUUAAAAAAUAAAAAAAAUAUAAAUCAAUUAUAUAAAAAAAUAUACUUUGCAUCAAAUUUUCCGCACUGCCGAUGCGGUGCAAAAAAGAAUUUCUCAUUGAAACAUUAUCACUCUAGACCCGCUUAGCUAGCUGAACCGACCCAACCAGUUUCAAAUAAAUAAACAGGUUAUUAAACCAGUUCAAAGGGGACCGGAUCCGACUACCAUCUUUAUCGAAUCGGACGUGGAGACCCACCGUACCAAACCCUCGGCAGCUCGAAAAGAGGACAAACCCCAGGGGAGAGAGACGUUUGAGACGAGAAAACCCAAACCCUAAAAGGACGACCUUUUGCUCGAAGAGAAAGAGAAGAAAGAGGGAGGACAUCUCCAAAAGUUAGACAAAUUGCCCCCAUAUCCUUCUCCAAUCAACCCCCCAAAUCUUCCGACUAGCUCCCGAUCCCGCUUCUUUCUCUCGAUUUCGAAGCCUCAUCACGCUAAUCUCGAAUUCCGAAACGCUAAUCGUCCUUCUGGGGUUUUUUAGGGUCUCCCGAGGUCCGGAUCCACGGCUCCUGCCAAUGCCGUGGUGGCCAUGACGACGGAGGUGGUGGCAACGACGCUAAGGCUGGAUCCACCACCGCCGCCCCGCCCCGCUGGAUGCGGCGGCGACGGCUGCGACGCUCGGGACCCCUGGCCGCUCCACCAUGUCCGCCAUCGCACCGUCUUCUGCCGCCUCUGCACCUCCUGCGUCCUCAAGUAUCACUCUGGAUCCUUCUGCGUCGCCUGCUUCGAGCUCCUCGACGCCCUUCCACUGCCGCCGCCGGCAGCGCUGCCCUCCCUUGUACGCUGCUCCAGGUGCCCGUCCAUCGCACACUCUGCCUGCCUCCAAGAAGCCGAGCGCGGAUCCACCUACCUUUGUCCUAGCUGCUCCAACCCCGAGAGCUUUUCUUACUUUCGCGUUAGCAAGGAUGGACAGCAGCGAUCGUUUGAUCUCACGUCGGCGAAGGUGCUCCUCGCCGCCACCCGGCUGUCGGUGGCCUCCAUGAGCAGGGCGGCGGCGGCUGCGAGGGCCGAAGCGGAGAGGAAGGUCAGGGAGGCGGCACUGGCGAGGAAGAGAGCGAGGGAGAUGCUGGAGAGGGUCUUUACGCUCUCGAAGAUGGAGAAGGAGAAGAAGAAGAAGGAAGCUAAUGAGGCCGUGGUGGUUCCCGUGCCGGAGGUGGCGGAGACAAAGAAGAAGAUGCCAAAGCUGAGCAGCACGGUGGCCGCCGUGGUGGGGCAGAAGAGUGUGCAGAACAGGGAUACUGAUAGGUGGAUGAAGUUCCAGGAGCCGGUGGCAACGGCACUGAAGCCAGUUCAAGGUCUUGUAGAUGAUAAAAGCAAGGUGACUUCUUUAACUGGGAUGCAUAACCAUGCUAAUAAUGGUGACAUGAAGGGCAAUUUAGGGAGCCUGUCUCGUUCUGGAAAUAAUGUUGGCCAAAGGGAGAGCAAGGAAAGGGGAGUUCUUUCAGGUACUCAGGGUGCCUUUGUUAAGGAGGAGGAUGGUGUUGUGGGUAGAUGCUGAUAGUGGUCCUAGGUUCCCUCAACCAACUCAAGGUGAAGAUUUUGGCAUCUUAUAUUGCACUAUUUUGUGCUUCAAAUAUUAGUAUCUUGUGAAUGCUAAGAAAUAGUGUGAUAAUUAUUUCAUUUUUGGUUUACUGGUUCACUAUUAUUGGGGGAAAAUGUGUUCUUCUCCUUUACAAAGCUCUUGUUUUUGGUGUAUUUUGCAAAUAUGAGAAGUCAUAUAAAGUUUCUCUACUUCGAGUCAAUUUUUUUUUUUUUUUUUUAAUUGAUUCUCUGAGAGAUUGUUUAUUUUUUAAUUCUUUACACCUGUUGCAGAUGUAUCAAUCUUUGGGACCAGCUUCAGAGAUAUCUUCAUGGGUUUGCUGAACAAGGUGACUCAGCAUUCAUGAGUUGGUUUUGUGGGUCGUUGUAUGUUUUGAUUUCAGUCCUUGAUGGAUGCCUGCAAUCGUUUGGAGAUUGUUCAGAGCAUUUUGUAUGUACUCCAACUUUUUCUUUUUCGUACUAAAGUGCCAAAAUUGGAUCCAAUUGUAUCUUUCAAUUGAACUAGAGUUUCCUAACUCUGCUGUCAUUUGUCAUUAGUUAAUGCUUUGAACUUCAAAAUAUAAUUCUUUGGUUUGGUACUUCGUUAAAAUCAUUUUCCUUUUUCAUGCCUUAUUUUCUUUUUUCAUUCUAGAGCAUGGAUUUAGUAUCAUGAAUUCUAAAACAAAUGGACUCAUUUUACUGUUACUUCUGUGACUCUCCCCAUGCCCUAUUUUCUUUGUACUUGAUGGUCGCAUCUACAAAACUCUUCUGGUGCAGUAAUGCAGGAGGAUUUAUGUACAUAGCUGGAAGUGAUUUAUUCUCUUAGGAUUAUCAUUUUUUCUUUUCUAUUUUCUAUAUAUUGUGAUGCACUGCUGAAAUUAACUAGAGCAUUGUUCCUAAGGAAAACAUCAGUUUUAUAAUUAUAUCUGUCCGAUCUUUAUGUCAGUUUAUAAUGUUUUGGGAAUCAUAUUGGUUUCUAUGAUUGAUAACUAGUAUUCUCUAACAUCUGCCAAUAUUUUGUUAGGCAUCUCUAACUCUAUAAUGUUAGGAAUUAGGGCACCCAUUUUAUUGUCAGAGAUGGUUGAUGAAUGCUUUUACUCGUUGGAAUGCAUCCCACUGUAUCUGUAUGGGUCUUAUUUUGUUUUAAUAUAGGUAUGUACCAUGUUUGCCGACCCAAACUAGUUGAUUAAUGUUUAGUUAUGUACCAUGUACCUGCUAUAUAGGCUUGUAGCAUAGAUUAAUAUACAGCUUGAACAUGAGAUUUAUUCUGAUUCUUUAUCUUUAAUGUCAAACACUAAGAAUAAUCUGGAAGAGGGAACCUUAGUAGUAGAAGUCUUCAUGUAGGAUACCACACCUGCUUCUUGAUAUCCUUUGGAAACUCGUCCCUCCUCCUGCUUGCUUAUCAUUUUUUUAAAGACCUGCUUCCCCACACCUGAACCUGAAUCUGCUUCCACACCUGCACUUUUGGUAAAUAAGGAGGGAAUUGAAUCCUAACAUUUUGACCUCUUUCCCUUGGCUUCACUCAUAAGAGUGGUCAAGGGCAUUCCUAGGCACUUAACGCAAGAUUUGUUGCCUAGGUGGCCCACCUAGUUUGCUUAGUUAUGUAUUAAGUGAUUUGAUAUGAGUAUAUUACUAUUGACUUAAAGACCUAGUUUUUACCCAAUAUCAUCACCAUUACGAGGUUGGCUAUAAAGCAGAACUAUAAGUUGAAUAGGUUCUGCAUAGAAAUACUAGGCAGAUCCUAUGAUUGACUGUCAAUUUGAUGCCCAACCUCUAGAAAUUGGUGCUAAGUUCCUAACAAGGGCAAGAUUAGACGAGAAAGGGACUUUUCAUAUUCAAACCUAUAAGACCAGAUGGUAGGGAAGGAGAUUUACCUGUUUGUUCACAAUUAAAUCUCAUGCCACCAAGGAACAACCAUCUGAUAUUCGCCUAAACUUGAGCAUCUGCAAAACAGGGAAGAGCGAUGAAUCUUGAUACAAAAAGGGGAUAUUUAGGAUGUCUUUGAUUAGAUUAUCAACAAAAGAAAGAGGGUGGUGCUGACGGCAUUUUUUGUGUGUGUGCACGCGCAAGCGGCGCAGGUGAUGCAAAGACCUGAGCAUUUUUUUUAAGACGUGGAAGGAAAAGUUCAGAUUGAAGAUUAUUUUUCACAUUUCUGAGACACUCUUAUCAGAAGUCAGUGUUGCAACUUGCAAGAGGUUCAAUGGCAUUUGAAUAUGUAUUUCUGUUUCCAUAUGCAGAUUUUGUGAUUUUUCUUUAAUGUAAUUAACAUGUAAUUGGGCUUGUAGAUCAUGGUGCAGUAGUUCUCAUGGAAUAAAAUAGCAAUGCAGUAGGUUGUAUAAUCUCUGAAGACAGAAUUUAAUUGCAGCUUAAAUUUCCCAUUUGCUCAACUGAACAUCAGAUCUUCAAAUCCAUCAUUUUGACAUAGCAUGAAGCACUAUACAUAAUGUCCAUGAUUAGAUACUAUAUAUUUAGAACUUUUGGUAAGAUUUAAUAGGUGAUUGAUUCAUUCACCAGGCUGGUUUUUCUUCGAUCUUAAUGGAAGUGCGUGGAAGCACUUGGGGCACAUCUGCUCGUGUGGCAUCUCUUCUCCAAUGACGAGUCUAUCGCUUGCUGUUCGUUUUGUGCACACAGCGUUUAACGUUUUCAUCUUAUCUGGGAAGAUAUUCCAAUAUAUAUUUUGUACAGCAGGAGUUGAAUCGUGGAGUAACCUGUUAUUUGUUUCAAUGUGGCAAAUGUUAUCAUAGUGAUAACGUUAGCUGGACACUGCAAGCCGCAUGUGACCCUCUUGACGCUUCGAGCUGCUUUUCUGCUGGAAGCUCGAAUGAAUUAGAGAAAGAGGCAAAUACAGAGGAUCGGGAGAAAUCCAAGUAGUGCAAUGCGAAGCAAAUUCUGAAUGGAGUGAUUUAGUCAACAGCUUACGCUGUUAUGCAUUUUCAUAUCAGCAUAACAUCAUUUUAUGGGAUUAACGUAUGAGAUCAGUUGUAUCUACUAUAGGGCUCUAUAAUGUAGCCGGUACAAAAAAAAAAAAAAAGGGGGAAAAGUAUGAGCUCAGACGAUAUUAUACUGAUGGAUGUAUCAGCUGUCUCCUUGACAUGGGUUGUAGUUGAUGGUCGAUCCCUAUAUUAAAUGGUUUAUAUGUCCUAAUCUACUUUUAUCUAUGGGAGAACCGUUGUGCCGAGGCAGCUUCCCCGUAGGUUCCAGUCUGGUUAGCGCGCAAGGCUUCCCCCGCGCUACAGGAUGC
rnacentral:lncRNA from 1 species